UUUUUUUUUUUUUUUUUUUUGUCAACCACACAUUAAUUAAUAAAUAAUUCCUUGAUUGGUUGCCCAAUUAGGAGGAGUAGAGUUUACAAAAGUAACUUUAGAAAAUAAAAGUCUAGAAGAACGGGCUAAGCAGUCCGCUUGAACAUUACAUAAACGAGAAAUAAGAGAAAGCGAGAAGAAAGGGAAAGAGAGACGGAGAAAACCAAACUCGUCUAGAAGAUUGGAGAAAGCAGGCCAUUCAUCCGGUGAGUGUAUCAUCGAGACUAACUCCGAGCAGUCUGAUUCAAACACCUGACAAUCGAUCCCUCUUGAAAGGAUAUUCUUCAUAGCCCAAAUUAAAGCUUCCAUCUCCGAGUGAAGAGGGGAGGGACACCUUCGAAGGCACUUUGCACCGAGCAGUAUCGUUUGAUCAUUUCCUUGAAAACACCAUCAUCCUAUACCCAUUGUUGGAUCUGAAUUUUUCCAAGAACCAUCAAUCCGACAUAUUAUAGAUUGAACCGGUCGUUCCAAAGUUUCCGUAGUAGAACUAGUUUCGAUCGGAUCCAACUGAGCUUCUUCCCACAUUAAUUUUUCACUCAAAGCAUGAUUUAAAAUAUCUCUGGGUUCAGAUUGUAAUCCCUUGAAAACCUUUUUAUUCCUAUCUUUCCAGAUGAACCACUAAAUCCAAGCAUAACUGAAAGUUUUCUCUCCCCCAUCUAGAUUAGAUGGUAACCUCCAAUAAAGAUAAUCUAGAUUUGAGAAUUCCGAGGUUAGAGGAAAACUACCUAUUGCCGUAGGUAUAUCUGAUAAUUCCCAUAUUUUCUGAGAAUGAGUGCACUCAAAUAAAGCAUGAUUUAUUGUUUCCUCUGCCAUCUCACACCUUUUACAGAGAAAGUCACAUUGGAUCCCUCGAUGUGCUAAUUUUGAAGUAACUGCUAGAGAUCCCGUAGCAAUUUGCCAUAAGAAAUGUUUUAGUUUUGGAGGGGCUUUGACUUUCUAAGCUUGUGCUUGUAAAUUCUUAUAAUUCGGGAUAUAUAUGUCAUAUAUGAAUUACUAUGAUAUAUAUUUAAAAUAUUAUAUGUAAAAUAUAUAAUGAAAUAUGACUCUAUUAUUCGAAAAAAGUUUGUGUUGAUUUUUAAACUUAAUAAUUACUCUCUACUUGUAAUUGGUUUUAAAAAGAUAUUGUUUAUAAAGAAAAAAAUUAUUUUUAGAUAUAUAGAAAUUUUUUAAGAAAUUACAAAACUAGUAAAAUCUCGCUCUAAAUUAAUAAUUAUUAAUUUAUCGAUAAAUUAAUACCUCUCUAAAUUAAUAAAAUUUUCUGGUCCCAACAUUAUUAAUUAAUAGAGGUUUUACUGUACUUUUCUUAUGAAAGAGUAAAAAAAUAGAAUUAUCUUUUUUUAAAAAUAAACAUUCAUCGUUUAGUUUAUGUUUUUUUUUUGUCAACCACACAUUAAUUAAAAAAUAACUCAUUGAUUGGUUAUCCAACUAAAAUGAAAAAAGUUUACAAAAGCAACAUCAGAAAAUAAAAAUCUAGAUGAACGGGCUAAGCAGUCCGCUUGAACAUUACAUAAACGAGAGUUUAGUUUAGGUUUUAUGAUUAAAGAUUUAGGUUUUAGAGAUUUGGUGUCAUGGUUUUAGGGUUUAGUUGUAAGGCUUAGGGUUGGGGGUUUAUAAUUUUUAGUUAGGGUUUACAUAAUAGGUUGUUUUGUAACUUUAUAAAACAAUAUAAAUAUUUACUUUUUUCUAAUUUUGAUACAAAACUAGAUUAUUUAUAUAACUCGAAAAAGUAUACUAUUGAUCUUAAAUUUAGAUAUUGGCUUAUAUUCAGAAUUGAUAACCAAAAUAAUCUCACUAAUUGGAUAAAUUAGUUUCACUUGUUAAAAUAUGAUAUCACUUGAGUUUUUAAUUUUAUUUUUUCCAACUGGAUAUUAAAACGGUUCAUAAAUAUAUGAGAUCACAUGAUACAGUAAAACCUCUAUAAAUUAAUAAUGUCGGGACCAUGAUAUUUUAUUAAUUUAUAGUGAUAUUAAUUUAUCUAUAAAUUAAUAAUUAUUAAUUUAUAGCGUAAAUUAAUAUUUAUUAAUUUAUAGCGUAAAUUAAUAUUUAUUAAUUUAUAGAAAGUUUUGUUUCAAUUGUAAAAACUUUUUUAAAAAAAUACGAGCUAAAACAAUGUGAUCUAACUAAGAUUAAUGUUUUGGAUAUUAUAAAUUUUAUAGUUUUAGCCUUAAACACUUAAUAUUUCGAAAAGAAUAAUUUAUUUUGACAAUGAAUAACAACGAUUAUAGAAUUCACAUAUACAAACGAUAUACAUAAAUUAAAAUUCACAAAGACAUCCAUUGUUGUAUUUUAAAAACAUAUACGACUAUUAAAAAAAAAAUUAUGCAUAUUCAAAAUUUGAAAACUUACAAAAUUUUUUGGCUAUUUUUAUGAAAAACACUAAAACUAUUAUAUAUAUAUAUGUGAAAAUUACAUGAUUAUUAAUUUAUGAUAUUAUUGGGACUAUAUUUUUACAUAGGGAUUUCAAAAAAAAUAUUAUUUUAUUAUCUUAUCGAAUUUGGUUAAUUUUUACAUUGGCCCGACUCGGGACCGACCAAAUUUAUUAAUUUAUCGUGUUUAUUAAUUUAUCGACUAUUAAUUUAUAGAGGUUCUACUGUACUACAUACUUCUGACUGUUGACAACAGAAAAAGGGUUAAAAUUUUUAAACCUAACCUAUUAUUAGUUGUUCACUUGUUUUACACCUGAGACCAACUUAAUGACAUAAUUGGUAGUUCGGUACAACAUAUAUAUUAUCUCUCCAAGUUUAUGUUCAUUUGCAGUUUCAGAUCCAGUAAAAUUAAAAUCAUGGUACCUCUAACAGAUUGAAUUAAUUCCAUAUAUAUUAAGUAUUAACUAUAUAUUUAUUCGAGGUGAUAAAAUAUUAAGAGAUGGGGGAAUAGAAGAUGGAGAUUGGAAGUUUAAGCAUUGUAAUGAAGUUGUGGAGAAACGGAACGAAAACAGAAAGUGGGUAGGAGUGACAUAUACUAGGCAUGGCCAUUAAAUAGAAGAAAAGAAAAAUUAUGUUAGUCAUAUUUUGUUUAUGAUGAAGAAAUUUGAUUUUGAAGAUUGAAAUAAUAUAAACAUGAAUUUUCUGUUCCCAAUUACAUCAAUAUUAAUUACCAAUAUCAUGGAUCGAUUUACUUAUUUUAAAAUACAAGUUUAAGAUUCUACUCAUGUUUUCAUAUUUUCACAAUAUAAUUCCGCUAUUUCUACCAUUCUUAUAUAUAAAUAGAGAAAAAUGAAGCAUCAUUAUUUAAAUACACUUGUGGUAUUUAAAUAGUGUAUAAGAUUAAACCUCUAUCAUAGACCCAAAAACUCUUAAAUUCAUUUGUCAAUCGCCGAGCUAAUGGUACCACCAACUAGAUUUAUGAGCACACUUUCCUAUCAAUAUAACUUUGUAGACUUACUUAAUUAUAUUUUUAAAUAUUGAUAAUUAAUAAGUUGAUUAGCUAGAUGUUUAGACAAGAACAAGACAAGAGUACUAGGGCCAUGUCCAAGCUCAUCCUUUGUAUUUGCAGAAAUGCGCCCACAUGAUAAUAAAUGUGAUAAAAUUGUUAUGAAUUAUAAUUUCAAUAUUUUAUAUUUAUUAGGUUCCUUCACAUCGUGGAUGAGUUGCUCAUUACAUAUAUCAACCAAUUUUCAUUGUCCUUUUCAUUAUUGAAUGUUUUUUUUUUUGUUUUUGAGUGAUUUUCCAAAACUUUAAUAAAUUUAUUCACGGGACACUUUCACGCCCAUUAAACAUAUAUACAUGUUUAGGUACCAUUUCUCUUGUCCUUUUUCACUAUUACAUUGUUUUGGAUUUCACAAAAUUUGCAUAUACACUUAUAUAUAGAAAAGAGACAGAUAGUGAUGGAACCAAAUCUGAAAUUGUUGAAAUAAUCAAAUUGGUCCCCAUCACCACCCACUCCUGCACAAACCUUGUUAGGUCAUUGAUCCUAAAGCACAGAAAAAGGAAAUAAUUGAAUAUAAAAAUAAUUAAUUGAAAAUUUCAAAAAUAGAGAAGUUAUGGGAACAGUGAUCCCCACUACAUAAUGUGUCUGAGACUUGCUAGCAUUGUCUUAAAUUCCCUAAAGCACUGGCAAAAAUAAAGGUGCAUAAAGAUCCUCUCACACAUAUACAUAUACCUAGUAAUCUUUAUAUAUAUAUAUAUAUAUAUAUAUAUAUAUAUAUAUAUAUAUAUAUGUGUGUAUAAAAAAUAACAAAAUAUAAAUAGUCGUAAUUUUUAAUGGACAAGAGUGAUCGAAAAUCAUAAAUGGAGAUGCUACCAGAAAAGGUGGCAUAUAUUGAGAUUGAUGGAUUCUUGGUAUCCACCACCGUUUAUAUAUUUAGGUUUAUUAUUAUUUUUUGAAUGACUAAGUAAUUUAUAGGUCAAAUUUACGUGUUUCCACGAAAAAAGGCUAGUAAAACAAAAUCACUUUUAACAGAAAAAAUUACUAUUACAAUACAACUACUUAACUUUAGAUAAAGUUGAUUUCAAGGAAAUUUGCUUUUCAACCAAAUUUACGACUAGUUGUGCCAUGGUUUCACAUUUUAUUGAUAGUACUAAUUAUAAGAUAAUCAAAAAUUAAAUUUUGUUAAUUUGUAAUAAAUGUCAAAUAUGAAUUAGAUUAUAAUGUAUCGUAACCAUUGUUUAGGAUUUUAGUUAAAAUAACCUCUAUGGGGUAUGGAUGAAGCAAUUUGAAUAAAUAAAAAUGCUCCUUGGGUAUAUGAAUAUAAUUUUCAAUUCGUACGAAGAGUAUAAAAAUGACAAACACAAAUCGAUGUUAUCAUUUGGAUGAUAAAGAAAAAAGGAUUUUAAUCGUUGUGAUAGAUUUUAGAGCAAUGUCGCUGGAAUAAAUAAAAAAAAAAAGCAACUGUAUAAGCUCGAAUAUAGAUAAAGAAGAAAACUAAACGAUAACAUAAAACAAUGUCGGAAGGCCAAAUAAUAGGAACAUACAAAAUUAUUAAAGCAUCUUCUUAAAUUAUUGAAGAUAUGAGGAUAUUAUAAUACUAGGUAGUAGUGAUCGAGGCUUUCCAUUAAUACUUAAUGUAAUAAGAUUAACAUAUAGUAACAAAUUACUAGUGUUUGAUAAGUUGGAGAAUGGAGAGCAUAUUAGGUAAAGAUUUUGUGCACUUUUAGACACACAUGCUAAAUACAAAAAUAAUAUAAUUAGUGGAGAUUGAUCAGAACUUAAGGCUAAUUUGUGUCAGCAUAAUGUUUAAUUAGUUAGAUAAUCAAAGGACCUAUAAUUCUAUAAAGCUUAAUCAUAUGACCAAAUUGUCUUUUAUUUUUCUUAUUAUAUUAUUUCGAGAAAUGGACGAUUAUGGAUGGCUAAGAUAAAUAAAUAAUUAAGAGAUUUACAAUAAAAAUAAUCAUCACAUUCACAUGCCACCAUUAACGAAUGACACCGAAAACACAAAUACAUGGGAACUUGAUCAUCUUACCCACACAUUAUAUUGUUAUCAUAAGAAUUGUUCGUUCAUAGGCAACUUAGAAUUUCCAAGGAAAAAAAAAAGUAUCUUAAAAUCAAAUCUAAACAAUCUUUUUUGUAUUAUAUACUCAUUUAUCAUAAAAUUGUGGAAGCAAGGAGUUUCAUGUCGAAUUUCGAAACCAGACUAGAUAGAACUGUAGGUAUAGCUGAAAAAUAUACAUUGUUUAAACAAAAAUAAACUAUAGCUUCUCAUUUUGAUAUGAUUCUGGUCAUAUAAAUUAGCUAAAAAUAUUCUUCUUCUUCUUCUUAUUAUUACUAAUUAUUACUAAUUAAGAUCUGGUAUUAGUUAAGCAUUGCAAAAGUUGCACAACAAAAAAAAAAGUUAAGCAGUGCAAUACAAUAUCCUUGGUUAACACGUUGAAAUGUUUCCAUUGAAAUAAUCAAAACUAUAUUCAAAAUUAAUAUCAACCACUGGAAAAAAUAUCAUACAUUAUGAAUGUAUAAAGAGAUAUAUGUAUGAAGUGUGAUGUGGUUCGGUUUGGUAAUAAAAUUUAUGAAAUGGUGGACUACACUUGAGAAAGCAAAAAUGUACUUUACCUUUUAACCUAUUUUCUAGUUGUUAUAAACCAUAUAGAUGGACUCCAUAACCGGUCCAUGGCCCAUUAGGGUUUUACCUUAUUCUCUGUAUCCUGCUAUUAUCCUUGUAUAUAUAUCCCCUAUCCUAUUAAUGAAAGACACAGUUUACAACACGUUAUCAGCACGAUAGCCUCUUACCCUAAAAAUUAAAAAAAAAUCCCGAAACCCUAAAUCUCUCUCACAAAAACCAAAACCAAAACCCUAGCUGUCUCUGCAAACAAAAUUUUAAACUCUAUCGAGAUAAGUUUUCUGUUCAUAUUUGUUUCUGCACGAAUUUUGCACGGAUUAUCUGUUAUCAAUCCUGUCUGUAUUUCUGCACGAACUUUGCACAGAUGAUCUGUUAUCUAUUCUGUCUGUAGUUUUGCACGAAUUUUGCACGGAUUAUAUGUUAUCAAUUUUGUCUGUAUUUCUGCACGAAUUUUGCACAGAUUAUCUAUUGUCAAUUCUGUCUGUAGUUUUGCACGAAUUUUGCACGGAUUAUAUGUUAUCAAUUUUAUCUGUAUUUCUGCACGAAUUUUGUCUGCAGAUUUGCACAAAUUUUGCACGGAUUAUUUAUUAUCAAUCCUGUCUAUAUUUUUGUACGAUUUAUGCACGGAUUAUAUGUUAUUGAUUCUGAACUGUUUUAUGCAGUAUAUUACAGAAACCCUAUUUUUUUUUUUUUUACUAAUGUAAUAGCCAUGUUUCCAUGAGCAAAAUUUUGAGUUUCUCAGGAAUCAGGAUUAUAUAUAUUGAGAUUUUGUAGGAGGACCCAACCAGCUAAGAGACAUAACGUUUUCCAAUCUCCGUAUCAGAUCUCGGGUCUCUGUUUCAGUUCUCCAAUUAAGAUAAGUGCUAUUUAUUUAUUAUGCUUUAUAUACAUGAUCCAAUUAAAGUUUGAUAAGAUAAAAUUUGCAUGAAAAUUGGCACAUGUGAUUUGAUUUAUGAUUGGAGAAUUAAUUGAGAAGUUAGUGAAUGGAAAGAUAUUUAAUGGCAUGAUAGAUUGAAUGUUUUAAUAUAAACCCUAGGUUAAACCGAAAGUAAACCGAAACCCUAAAUCCUAGGUUAAACCGGUUUAAUAAACCCUAAGUCACGGUUUAAGAUCAAGCUUCCCAUAAAUGGAAAGUUUCCAGAAAUAGAAAGUUCCAUAUAAGGAAAGUUUACAGAAAUAGAAAGUUUCGUAAAAUAGCAAGUUUCCCAAAAUAAAAGGUUCCCUAAAAUAGCAAGUUUCCCAAAAUGGAAAGUUACCAAAAUAGGAAACCCCUUCAUAAGGAAAUAUUCUAAAACCCUAGUACUAUAAAUCGCGGAUGCUAAAACCCUAAAACUUAACCGCGAAAUCCUAAUAUCCUAAUCUAGUAUGAUCCGAUUGUUUGGUUGUUGCAUACUAGAUCAAUCUUCUAGGGUUGAUUUCAUCCAUAUAUAUAUAACAUGAUUGUUUAGAAAACACUUGCUGAAGACAAGCAUGGCUCGGUCUUAAAUACCGCAUGACUUGGUCUAACCGAUUACAUGAGUUCUCAUUUAACUCUAUAUAUUAUAGAUAUCAGAAAUCAACUAUUAUGAAUACACGGCACUCAAUGCCUCUGGUGACAAUUAUUUAAAAUGGGCUUUGGACACUAAGAUUGUCCUAAAGGAAAAAGGGCUUGGUGAAUCUAUUAUGGAAGGAAACAAUGUCACCAGAAGAGAAAGAUAUAAGGCGAUUACUAACAUACGCCAUCACCUCAAUGAGAGUCUCAAAAUCAGUACCUCACUAUUAAGAAUCCUCUGGACCUCAGGACAGAGUUGAAAAAAAAAAACGGUGCUAUUACCCAAAAGCCCGAUUCGAUCGAAAGAAUCUCAGAUUCCAAGAAUUCAAAUCCAUGAAUGAGUAUAACUCAGCACUAUUUAAAAUAGUGUCAAUGCUGAGAUUCCGUGGUGAGGAAAUUAUUGAGAAUGACUUGCUAAAGAAAGUAUUCUCAACCUUUCACACAAACAAUAUAUUGCCUCAGCAACAAUAUCGUGAAAAAAAAAAAAGGUUUUUAGCACAUAUGCAAGUCUAAACUCUUGUUUUGCUACUUGCUGAGCAAAACAAUGAGUUAUGAAUAGUGAAAUGAGACCUCCUGGUCCUACCCCAUUAUCAGAAGCCCAUUGGGCUGAAGAGCCUAAAGAGCCUAAAGAGACUAAAGAGUCUAACCACGUCCAAAGAGAUAAGUAUCAUGGCAAUUAUAAUUUAUAUGAUCAAGGAAACCAUUCAUAUGGUUAAGGCCGCCGACCCGACUUUGGUCGUAAUCGAGUUAGAGGCCGUGGUAUACCCAAACCACAACACUCAAAUAAACUUGUUUGCCACUGAUGAGGAAUGGGGAAACCAUUGGACUAAGACGUGCAUGACUCCUAAGCAUCUCAUUGAUCUCUAUCAAGAGAGUUUGAAAAGAAUCUAGAAGCUCAUUUCAUCACAAUGGUGAAGAAGAUUUCGACCAUGAGAUAGAUGACUAUGAGACUUCGGAAUGCCAACGAAAUAUCCAAAGACAUGGCUGAUUAGCCAAAUUGCGGGUAUAGCUAAAUUUAGUGAAGGCUAAGGGCAGGGCCAUGGCAGGCCCAUAUUCCCAAGGGCACGCAUCCUCAGAUGCUUCAUAUUCACCCAGCUCAAAGGGGCCUUGUUGAGUUUCAAAGAAAAGUGUUUGAAUGGUUUCCACAUUGAAACUAAGGGUGAAGGGAACAAAGGAUUCCCAUAUAUUACUAAGAGCACCCAAGACCAUGAGAAGGUCUUAGAGACUAUACCCGCGUCAUAGACCUUUACUAUGCCAAGGUCAAUAUGAUAGAGGCUAAUACAGUAAACAAAAGGGUUUACUGAGAAAUUCACUAAUGGCAUGACCGGCUUGGCCAGCCUGGUUCUAACAUGAUGCGUAAAGGUGAUAUUAAAAUCAAAAGGACACACUCCUUAAGGACCUCACGUGUGCAGCAUGUACACAAGGGAAACCCAUACUAAGGUCAUCACCAGUCAAAGCAACUAGAAACUUGGUGUUUGCUAGAUUGCUGGCCCAGACCAUAAGUCUGUGAGCCCACAUACUUAAGACUAUAUGUCUAGAUAAUGCUGGUAAAUUAUGUCUCAAGCGUUUUAUGGCUACAGUAUGUCCAUGAGGGGGAGAGUAGUAUACCCCGUGGCACAUGUCCAUACUUGAACUGACAGUAGCUUCUUGGGGACACACAAUAUUACAUGCAACAAGAGCUUAUACGCAUCAGGCCAUUCUAGUGAGCAUAGAUAUUCCCCAUCCCAAUUGCUAACGGGUCAUGAGCCAGACGUUUCCCAUCUUAAGACAUUUGGGUGUUCAGUCUAUGUACCCAUUGCACCACCACAGAGAGCAAAUGAUGGGACCUCAAAAGGGGAUGGGAAUAUACGUUAACAAUGAUUCUCCCACCAUCAUUAAGUAUCUCGAGCCAAAGGCCAGAUUCAAGGAUUGUCAUCUCAAUGAAUCCGUUUUCCCAACACUGGGUAGAGAGACUAACAAGCUGGUCAAAGAACUUACAUGGAAUCAAACAUCCUUCACAUGGCAAGAUCCUCGGACUCCAUCAGAGAUCCAAAAGACUAUAUAUCUGCAAAAGCUAGCUAAAACAGUUGCCAAGAUUCCUAUAAUGACCCAAAGAGAGUAACAAAAUCGUACAUACCAGCUUGUAAUGCACCAGUACGUAUUGAUGUUCACAAGGAACACAAUCAAGUUGCUACAGAGGCUACAACACGUAAGAAACGUGGUAGACCCAAAAGGUUCCAAAGACAAGAACCCUCAGAAAUCAAAGAAAGGUGCAAGGGAAACCGAGAAGGUUCAAGAAACCAUAGACAUGGCCGGCUAAUAGACAUAACCCUAAGGUACCAAUCAAUGAGGUUUGGGACGCCAAACCUCAAGGUCCUGAACGUGUAAAGAGAUCUCUAUAAACUAUAUCAUGUCUAGAAUACAAUGGAACCGAAAAGAUGUCGACAUCAAUGAUAAUAUAUUUGCGCACAAGGUAGCAACUGAAAUGAAUGAGGAUCAGGAGCCCACGUCUAUACUAGAGUGCACUCAAAGACCUGAUUGAUUAAAAUGGUACAAGACCAUAAAAUGUGGAGCUAAUAAUUAUCAAGAAGAAGAAUGUGUUUGGUCCAAUACGAAGGACACCAUUCAAUGUAAAGCCAGUGGGACAAAUGAGUCUUUGUGAUUAUGUGAAAUAAACAUAGUGAAAGCGUGAUAUAUCAGACACGGCUUGUCGCACAAGGAUUCACACAAAGACCAGAAAUAGAGGAGAUAUACUCCCCUGUGGUGGAUGCUAAGACAUUUAAAUCUUUGCUAAGUCUGGCUAUAUAAAAGAGAAAGAUUUGCGGCUAAUGGAUGUAAUGCCUGCAUAUUUAUAUAAGUCCACUGGAUAAUAUAUGAGAUUACCAGAGGGUAUUGAGCUCAAAGAUAAGAAAGAUUCUCGAGAACAGCACUGCAUAAGGCUGGACAAAUCCUUAUAUGGACUGAAACAAAGCGGACAUAUGUGGUAUAACCGGUUAAGCGAAUAUCUCAUCAGAGAAGGCUAUAAAAACGAUCCGAUCAGUCCAUGUAUUUUUAUCAAGAAGUUUGCAAACAAAGGAUUUGUAAUCAUAGAAGUGUAUAUGAAUGAUUUAAACCUCUGGGUAAUCGCCCAAACAGUUGAGUAUAUCUAAAGAAAGAAUCUCAAAUGAAAGACCUAGGCAAUAAUUAAGUUCUGUUUGGGAUUACAACCUGAGUACGUGAAUAAUGGAAUCCUUGUGCAUCAAAUGGCAUACACUGAAAGAGUACUCAAGGAGAUUUAAUAAGGACCAGGCCCGCCCAUUGACCAGGCCCAAUGGUGGUGAGAAGCCUCAGAUUGGAUAGUGAUCCACUCAGUCCGGAAAUGCCAUACUUCAGUGCCAUAGGAGUUCUAAUGAAUUUUGCUAGACACACUAGACCAAACAUUUGUUUUGCCGUGAGUCUCCUGUCUAAAUUUAGUUCAUGAUCAACCCAAAGGCACUGGAAAGGUUUAAAGGAAGGUUUGGUUAAAUUUUAAAGUUUAUUCUUCCUGCGUUGUUUACUUGGGUUUAUUCUAUACUGAUCUAACCAAAGAAGAUCCAGUUUGCUUUGGUUUAGUUUGAUUUGCUGAUGCAGGUUAUUCAUAAGAUCUGAUUAUGGCAUGGUCAAUGAAUAGGAACUACGUGUGGCUUGAUCCCUUCCAAGGGUACGUAAGCAGCCUUCCUUAAGGCGCAUCUACUACUACUACUACUACUACUACUACUAAUACUACUACUACUACUACUACUACUACUACAUCAAAGACCAUCAUAUUUGAAGACAACGCAGCCUGUAUUGCUCAACUAAAGGAUGGCUAUAUCAAAGGGGAUCGAACGAAGCAUAUUCUGCCUAAGUUCAUCUUCACUCAUGAAUUACAGAAGGACGGUCAGGUCAAAGUUCAACAGAUCCGGUCAAGUGAGAAUUCAGCCGACCUAUUCACCAAAUCAUUGCCGACUUCAACGUUCCGGAAGCUCAUUCAUCAGAUCGGGAUGCGCGGACUUAAGGAUCUACAGUGAUGCUCAAAUCAGGGGGAGUAAUGCGUGUUGUACUCUUUUUCCUUCACCAUGGUUUUGUCCCACUGGGUUUUCCUGGUAAGGUUUUAAUGAGGCAACAUUCCCCAGCGCAUUAUAGAGAUCCCGGUUUAGUAUCGGGCACGGUUAUGUCUUCCAAGGGGGAGUGUUAUAAACCAUAUAGAUGGACUCUAUAACCGGUCCAUGGCCCAUUAGGGUUUUACCUUAUUCUUUGUAUCCUGCUAUUAUCCUUGUAUAUAUCCCCUAUCCUAUUAAUGAAAGACACAGUUUACAACACUAGUUAAUUUUUUGAUUCUUUCGUUUUUUAUAAUGUUUAUUAUAAGAAAAAGAAACAAGAGAAUCGAUGAUAAUUGCACGUCCCACUAAUGACUUAUUCAGCAUCUCAUCUUUUACUUUCGCCACUUAUAUAUAUUUCCUUUUUCUCCCUUCGUGUCCGCCAAGUCCUCGGGACAAAAGAAGACAGAUAGAAUUAAAAAACUCAAACUAAUAAGUAAUAACAAAUCAAGCGAGUUAUAAUAAUAUGAUUUCGUAAUUAACAUUAAAAUAGAUAGAAGGACCCACUAAUUAGUGAAAGUAUCUUAAUGUUCACAUCUGUCAACCUUUUUUUUAUAGGAAUUUCUUCUGACUUGUUUCAGGUUGCUGUCGUUUCAUUUAUAAUAUUAUUUUAUUCAAUAUUCGUUUUAUUUUUACGUCUUUACGAUUUUAAGGUUAAACAUUUCUCUUAGGACAAGUUCUUUGCUUUUCUAUAAAGUGACAUUGAUUUGAUGAAGGAUGGUUCUAGACUUCUAGCCGUUCUACUGUUCUAGGCUUCUAGUUCCAUCCGUUCUCCAUCCAUGUACAAUAUGGUAAAAAAGAGAAAUAUAUAUAGUUCUGUGCACAAAAAAAAAAAAAGAAAUAUAUAGUUCUAGAUAUUUCAAAUUCUAAUAUAGAUUUCUGACUUAUAUGUACGAUAUAUAUAUAUAUAUAUAUAUAUAUACAUAUUUUGGAUUAUGAUACGGGAUAAUCUCCCAACUUUCAAAUUGUAGCCAUUUAAUAUUUCAAUUUCAUAUGUGGUCAUUUAAAACAUGAAAUAAACGUUGACUAACGUAUGAGACAUGAAAAUUCGUUGACCAGACCAAAAUAGACAUGCCGUUAUCAGUCGUUAACGGAACCUCUAACGUCCGUUAUCACCCGUAACGACUCUGUUAAUCAACUUUCAAAUUGUGGCCAUUUUAAACACCAACUUCAUAUAUGGUCAUUCAAAACAUAAACUAAACGUUGACUAACAAUUUAGUACAUGAGAAUUCGUUGACCAGCCCAAAAUAGACAUAUCUUAAUCAGUCAUUAACAGAACCUAUAAUACUUGUUAUUACCCGUUAUCGACUCUGUUAGUCUGCCCAAAACGACGUCGUUUUGAAAACAAUCGAGAGGAAAUCAGGACAAUUUUUUUGCUUUAAAGCAGAUUCCAAGGACAUAGUUUGAUAUAGAGACAAUUGUAGAGCUAGUAUUUGGAAGCAAACAUCGUUUAUAUAUUUGUUUUAAAUCUAAAAAAGAAUCAUGGAAUCAAACUUGUAGACCCAUCAUAGGACUAAAUGUAGCUUUUCUGAAAUGGAGAUGGAGAUAAUAGGACUAUUCAUCUUGUUUGAGCUAUUGUAGAAAUAGAUUUGGGGAUUUGGUGUUUUUAUUUGGGAAAAAUCUUGAUUUCUUCUCGAUUAUCCUCAAAACGAAGUCGUUUUAGACAUACUAACAGAGUCGUUAACGGGUGAUAACAGAUGUUAUAGGUUCUUUUAACGAAUGAUGACGACAUGUCUAUUUUGGCUUGGUCAACGAAUUCUAAUGUUUCAAAUGUUAGUCAACGUUUAGUUCAUGUUUUAAAUGGCCACAUAUGAAGUUGAUGUUUAAAAAUGCCACAAUUUGAAAGUUGACUAACAGAGUCGUUAGGAGUGAUAACGGGAGUUAGAGGUUCCGUCAACGAUUGAUAACGGCAUGUCUAUUUUGGCAUGGUCAACGAAUUUCCAUGUCUCAAACGUUAGUUAACGUUUAGUUCAUGUUUUAAAUGACCACAUAUAAAAUUGAUGUAUUAAAUGACCACCAUUUGAAAGUUGGGAGAUUAAAUGACAUUUUACUCAUUAUGAUACUCUUUAGUAUGAUGUUUUUUUAGUUGCCGUCACUCUUAUUUUGUCGUUUACUUUAUACAUGGAUGGUUGAGUAAAUUUACGAAUAGUUAAGUAAAUUUGUAAUCAUGAUUGGAACUUCUAUUAUAGACCACAUUUUUGCAAAGAAAGGAAGAAGGCAAAGUCAUCGUGGAGUGGGUCUCUUACACAUCCACGUUUCAAACAUCUUACAUAAUGUGUUGAUUGAUUACUUUGUCUUUAGGGACCAAAUUGAGAAAGUAGAAGGAAAAAAAGAACGUUUGAAGCGGUUGAUUGAUUAGUGACUUCAACCAUAUCUUGUUUCAUAAUAUACGUUUAAACCUUUUUCCAAAGUACAUAUAAUUUUCUUGACAGCUCCAAACUCCAGAGUACAUAUAAUUGAAAACCCUUUAUAUAUAAAAAAAAAAAACAUAUACGUAGUUAAAUUCGACAAUAUUUAAUCACACAAAAUAAAAAAAAUCAAACUAUAACUGUCGGAUCAUCAAUUGCCAAUGCUUCCGUAAAUUUUCAUCCUAUCAAUUUUAAUCCAGCUUUUAUCAGUUUAAACUUGGUCCACUAAAAAUUUAUCCUCCAUUCAAUCACUUGAUAUAGUAUUCAAGAUUUAAUUUAAGUCAGACUGCUAGAACAAUUGCAAUUAACAAAUUCACCUUUUAUUAUGCUUAGGUAUUUUGAUAUACUAUCAACCCUCAAAAUUAGCUAUUAUCAUUUAAUGUAAAGUGAAAUUAUAUUUUAUUUAAAUGGAAAUCUAGAAAGUUGGCUGUUUUGCAUUAAUUUUGGGAGUAAUGACUAAAAAUUAAGGUAUUGUGUUAUUUCAAAACAUAUGCAGCUAGUAUAUCUUUUAGAAAAAAUUCGUUGGAAUAGAACGUUUUUCACUAUUAUUAAAAAGUUCAGUUUAACAAUUGUCCCUAUCUUUUAAUAUAUAGUUAUAAAAUUUUAGAUUAUGUUCAUUUUUCAAUUUUUUUUCUUUUUGCUUUUUUUUUUCAAUUAAAAAAUAUAUCUACCCGUUAGGUUAGAAUUUAGGAAUCAUCGUCCCACCUAUCUAAAUGGAAUGAUUUGAAUACACUCCAUAAUCUAUUUUGUCCCCACUAAUCCCGCCGCCUAAGUGUUUAACCACAACACGGGUUCAGAUCUAAUCACUCAUUAUUAUAAAGUAUAUGUCUCUCAUACUAUAUUUUAUGACAUAAAGUUUAAAUCACUAUCAUGAUUUACUUGAUUAUUUGUUUAUUUUUGUCAUGAUUCGGACGGACAAUCAACCUCUGUGCUAAUCUUUCAAUUUGCUUUAAUUAAUAUUCAAAGGUGCAUUGUUCAUAAUCACUAGUAUUAUUUUAGACCAAAAAAAAUCACUAUUAGUUUCACAAGAUUUGAAUUCAAUUUGUUUUAGUUAAUGUUCCUGCUGGUAAUCACUAUUAGUUUCACAUAAAGUACAAAUAUAUAUGAGAGGCCAUCGGGAAGCUUCUUCACCUACUUCUCAGGCUAGUUUACAAUUCUUAAUCAAAUCAUAUUAUGAAUAUAUGGACAUUACAUAUUGAAUCGAGCUGCUUAAUUAGUAUACAAAUAAUAAAUAACAUUGACAAAAGAUAGUAUUCGAAGUAGAAUUUUUUAUAUUAUUUUGUACAUUUGAUUUUAAUUUAAGUAACAAAAUAUUUAAUUACUUACCACUCAGUAGGCCUGGGCAUUCGGGUACCCGUUCGGGUUCGGUUCUUUUUUUUCGGGUAUCGGGUCUAUUCGGGUAGGAGGUCAAGACCCAUUCGGGUAUUCUAAAAAUUUGGUUCGGGUUCGGUUCGGGUUCGGGUCGGUUCGGGUAUUUUAAUAAAAAAAACAAAAUACCCAAAAAUAACCAAAAAUACCCGAAAUAUUUUCGGGUUCGGGUUUUUAACUCAUAUAUACCCAAAUCUAACCGAAAUACUCGAUUUAUCGAAAAUACAAUGGUUACUCUUUACCCAAAUAUAACCAAAAAUAUCUAAAAUAAAACCAACUACCAAAGACAAUACUAACAACAUAAGACAACACCAAACGACCUAAGACAACACCAAACCACACUAUUUUCAGGAUCAUUGCAGUGACAACAAUGAAACCUCCCCACGAGACAACAACAAAUUGGCGCAGCAAUUUUUCCCUUUCUUGGAUGUUUAAUGGAUGUUUGCAAAAACAACAACAAGUCAAUUAAAACACCUGAGUUAAUAAAUCAAAAACAAAGAUGAUCCAUGCAACAAAAGCGACUAAAUGUCAGAAGUUCCUGAGGUUGGUUUGGUGUUGCUAACAUCCAAAUCUGUAGCUCUAGAUCCCCAUACUUCAAAAACUCGACCAGUGUAAGGAGAAAUGUAGCACACAUUUCAUUGAUAUCUGCAUCUGAAUUAAGCACCAAGAUUUUCUUUACUAAACCCAUAUCCUGAUGUGCGUGUUCAACCAACCCAGGGAUCCCAUUGUCUUCACAAAAUGAAUCAAACAUCGACCAUGUCAUAUAGUCAGGAUCGAUGACUAUUCCCUGCUUUAGAGAUCCUCCUAUGUAAUUGACUGUCUUGUUCUCAUACUUCAUUAAUCCUCCAUAAUGUAAAUUGAUUUUGAUCUCUGAAAAACUGCAAAAUACGAUGUCAAUCAUAUCUCAUUCGUCACUUUCUAAACUGAGAAAUGAAAAAUAAGCCAAACAAGACUUCACACAAUGAAACCGUACCUCAUCUUAAUGCACGGAUUGCACUCGAAGAAAACUUGCAGUGAAGAAAUUCAAUGGAAGUUAAUGUUUCACGGUUCUAGAUCAAGACCUUGCACAAGGGCUCAACCUGUUGUAUCAUGGCACCAUCGAAAGCAAUAGAGAAUAGCACCGAAGUUUAAUUAGUGAUACUGAACACAAAUAAAAUAACACAUAUGUGGCUCGGACUCCUCUAUUUACAAGCACAGAAACACUUCAAAUUAUUUUAAUUUGCUUACCGAAGUUUCUGUAACGCAUAGCACAUUCAGAAGCCUCAGACACCUACAACAGGUAAGAAAGAACGCAAAGAAGCAUAAAUCAGUUUUGAUUCCAUCGAUUUUAACCGACGAAGGAACGAACAGUGGGCAAAAUUAAAAACAGAGAAAACAGUGAUUGAGAUUCACCUUAAACCUUCGUCUAUCUUAUCAAUUUGAGAAGGGAACUUUGACAAGUGAAGAGAUUAGGGAGAAAUCGAGAUUGAUUUUGGGAAUUAGGGAUGAAAUUUUUUGGGAUUUUGGUUUGGAUUUUAAUCUCAUCGGCCCCCUCCCCUCAUAAUCAUUCUCUAGUUAGCCCCCGAAAUAAAAAAACUUGUGUUAAAUUGAUUAUUUUAAUUCUGAAAAAGAGUAAAAGACAAAUAAAACUUGGGUUUUCAACUUAUUUACUGACCCAACCUCAAUUUGGAUCUAGAUCCACAUACAUUGGGUCGGAUUUUGGAUCAUUUAACCCCAAAAAUCUCAAAAUCGUAAAGUUCCAAAAUCAAAAUCCCUAACUCUAAUUUUUUUCCCCUUUUCUCUAAAAAAAAAAACGACGAAUCGCCGUUCAUCUCUCCGCCGUUCUUCUCUCGUCGCCGGCAAACCUUCUUUUCUUCCCUCUUCUCUCCGAAUCGAAACUCUCAUUCUUCUUCUCGCUGGAAAUUCUUUGUUAGAAAUCCAAUCCAAAUCCAUGUUCCUCCGUCUCCUUUCUUGUAAGCUAUAAAUUCUUCAUUCUCAUUCUUUCUUUUGUUUGAUUUCGAUGGAUUUUGUUGGGUUUUGUUUGUGAAACGGAUGAUUUUUCGGAUUUGAAUUUGUUGUAAUUUUCGGAUUGAAUUUGUCCCAAUUUUCGAUUUGAAUUUCUCUCUAUUUUCGGAUUUGAAUUACUUUAUAUAGAUUCAAAAGGAUUCCGAUUCAAAAUGUGUUUAAAUGUGUUUCGGAUUUGAAAUUUGUUGAAAACCCAAACUUUAUCUCUUAUAAUUAUGUAGAUAGAUAAUGAGAUUAUGUGAGUUUGUGUUUGGAUUGCUCGUUUAUUGUCUUGGUUUAGACAAUGAGAGUUUCAUAGUGACAAAAAAACAUCCGUAUUAUUUAGGUAGAAUUUAAGAUUGCUUUUGAAUGUUUGAUAUUGAAGAAGGAGAAGGAGAAGGAAAAAGAGAAGGAGAUGGAGCAAGAGCAGGCGAAGCAGAUGGAGCAAGAGAAGAGUUCGGCUCCUAUUUUGGUCUCUGAUGAUGAGUUCCGCUUGUAUUCUGGUCUCUAAUUUUUCGUAAACUAGAUUUGAGUUUAAAAGAUAUGGAAAUCAAAUAUUUAAUUUUAAAUGCUAUUAAACUUAAUAUCGAGAAUAUCUAGCAAAUGGAAACUACUAAAACAAUAAAAUCGAAAUCAAAUCUAAAUUUCUAAUGAUUAUUCCACAUACCUUAGUUAUCAUAAAUAACUAAUACAAUAUAAAAAUCAUUAAUUCGAUUGUUUAAAUUAGGAAAAUUUAAACAUUAAUUUCCAGAAUUUAAUUCGUUUCCGAAAUUAAUGCACAAUUAUAUAUCCAUUGUAUAUAUAUAUAUUUUCUUUUUUUUGUAAACUAUAUAUAUCGUAUUAACAAACGAAUAUUUUAUAUUCAACUUAUUUCCUAUAAAAAUGCUACAUAUUAUGACCCCAUUAAAGUUUGUUUCCUAAAUCAAAUAAACCGUAUAAAAUCCACAUUCAAUCACAACUACUGAAUUGGAAAUGAUUCUUAACUAAACGAUUUUAUUCUUAUUUCCUAUAGCAUAUUCUAUUAGAUUUAGGAUCAUGAAUAUUUUAUAAGAUAUAUAAUACUUGCUAAUCAAGAUUUUGUAUAUUCUCUACCAUAAAACCCUACUAAUCUAUCUAAACACUAUAAAACACUAAUACAUUUCCGAUCUCUAACUUAAGCUCAAAAUUUUUUUUACGAACACCAAUGGCCAAAUCCUUUGCUUGCUUGAGGAACAUCAUGCCUUACAAAACAGAUUGGCGUGUGCAGGUGAAGGUGCUUCUCUUAUUUUGUUACGAAUAGAUAUAUCAUUGAAAAACGAUUUUGUGUUUGUAAUGAAAAUUUGAUCAAUUAUCAUGUUAACGUGUUAUUUUUAUUGUUUUCAGGAUAUUUGUGGCAUUGCAGAUCUAUCAAACUAAUAUAUAUGUUUGAUGGAUUUCUGGUAUGUACAAAAUUUCACUCAAUAGUUUACUUAAUUCACAUUAAUUUAUUUUUGUCUUCUACGAUUAUUAUUUUUGAUAUGUGGUUCAAUUUUGACCAUAAAUUUAGCAAAUGUUCUAAUAACUUUUUUGUUUUUGUUUUUCUUUUUUGAACAUAACAGAGAUUUAAAAAAAAAACAAACAGCAAAUUUAGAUCUCAUUAGCUAAGAGUCUUAACAUAAGAGCCAUAUUGUUAAUUCAUUCUCUAAGAGAGGUACGAUUAGCUUUUUUUGUUUUAUUCUUCGACUUCUAUAAUACAAAAAUUUGAUCAUUAUCGGCCAAAGUACUUUCACUCAAUUUGUCAAUUUUGAGUUGUUACUAUGUUUGGUGUUUUUCUAACAUUUUGUGUAACAAGAUCAUUUUUUAGAGAUGGAUAAAUCCACAAGAAUUUCAUGGAGAACAAGUUACCUGAUUCCUCAUGGACAAAUUGACUGAAAGAGAGCAUUGAGUCGUAGCACUAGCAUGAAUUGUAACUUUUCUACCAGCCCUUUAACACGUUUAUCAUAUACUCACUCUCUUUCUCUUUAGGAGGGCAGGGAAUAUAGAGAUGGAUCCAAUGAGGAAUAGCACGGACAAAGUCUUAAAAUCAUACAGAUCCUUUACUGAUCUGAGAUCUCCAAGAGCCAAACCAGCCUGUGUAAAUGAAGUUACCUGAAGCAAGCAACUUUUCUACCAGCCCUUUGAGUGGCUCCAUCUUUUUAAUUAGACGUUGUGCAAAAUUGUAACUGUAACAACAUUACAAAUUAUUUUAUGAGAUCUAAUUGUUUGCAAUAUAAUUGUAAAUUUAUGAAUCAGAAGACGUACUAUCAUUAACCAUAAGAUCUAAAAUUUCUAAUCAGUUACCUUAAGAAUCCAUGAACAAAAUGAUAAGAAAUCGAAUUUUCCCAAGAAAUAACAUCAAUGGCAGAUGCAUGGAAUUUCUGUCUUCAAUUGAUAGAUUAGUCGGUUGCUUUUAUCUAAUUGAGAUUCAAUCGCAGAUGGUAGAACAAUUUUCAUUUGAACUUUUUUGAUAUUUUAAUUAGGAGUAGAAUCUCUACCUAUAGAUACUCGAAUCAUAAAUUUGCUUCCCAGAUGCUUCAAAGCUGGUCUUGAUUGCUCCACCAAAUUGACAUCAUAAUUGUUUCACCUUCUUCACUAAAUUGGCUUCACGGUCUGAGAUGCGUCAUCCUCCGUCAACCAUGAAAAUGCUUAGUCGCUUCACAUGAACAAAUUUUUUUUGUAAAUAUUGGUUGAGAUGUGUUUCUACUUAAUGAUGGGUUUCUAUUCUUUCUCUUUUUUUCGCUUAUGGGUUUUGUAGUCUAAUCUCAAAUAUGUGCUUGACCCAACAAAAAAAUGACGUGGGCUGGGUAAAUUUUUUUAAGUAAUGCAAUUAUGGUUCGAAUUUCUCAUGCAUUUUAAUUGGAAACCUUUUUCAAUUUAAAAAAUGACAUUUACAUUUUUGGCACAUUUCCCCUUUUUUCGAGAGAUCAAAAGUUAACUUAGUUACCUAUUUUUUCUUUUUCAAAUUAAUAAAAAAUAUUUGUCUUGAGAUAAGAUAAGAAACAUGAAGGAAUAAUGUUGUUGUCAAUUAAUAAUUUAAACCCAUAUUAUAUUUUAUAAUUUUAAUAUCACCAUAUUUAAAGCCUAACUGGUUUAGACGAACGAAUGCAGUUGCAGUUAAAAGAAUUUGUGAAAACGAGCAGUUGCGAAAAUGGACAGUUACCGAAACGGAAGGUUGCGGUUUAAGCGAUAUUUAACGUUUUGUACGGCUGGUCCAGCAGUUAAAAAUGGAUGCGUUGCGGGAUUUUGAUGACGGGUUGGCCAGUAUGUGCGAUAACAGUUAAACAAAAAAUUACCAAAACAAAUACAAAAAGAUAUAAAAACAACAAAAACUAUAUUAUUCAAAUAUUAAAUAGUUGAAUAUGAUUAUAAUUAUUCAUAUCGAUCAAACAAAUACAAUAUUUCAAUGUGAAAAAAACAAUCUUGAAAAAAAUUAUAUUUAAAAAUUCGCAGAUUUAAUAGUGGAGCGGGUUACAAUUAGCAAUAAUCCGAGGUAGGAUUUAAAUAGAAUUGUUAGUGUCUUUUGAUAUCUUUAAAUGUGUAACUAUAAUACUUAAUUACUAAAUUACAUAUAUACUACGGGUUAAAUCUAAAAGCACUAAAAAUUUAAAUCAAAUAAUUCUAAUACUAAUUAAAAAACUGUAAAAAAUCAAUAUUGUUAUAUGUAAUAAAAUAUUAUUCCGCAGACCGCGGUGUACCGUGGGUAAAAUCUUAUUAAAAACCAUACAUAAUCAAACUUUCGUUACGGUACCAAUAAAAAAAAAAUUAAUACAUCAAAUUCAUAAGUUUAUAACAAAAUAGUAAAAAAAAAAUUAUCCCGCGGUGUACCGCGGGUCAUAUCCUAGUGUAUAUGAUUGAACGACUGUAAAUUAUACCUCUGAAUGAGAUUAAUGAGUUUUGCGUUUGAUUAUAGUAUCAAAGAUCUUGGUACUAGGAUUCAAAUCCAAGAUUAAUGAUUUUUAUUUUUACUUGUAAAAUCGACAAAAAUUUUGAGUUGACAUUUAUUUUCGUUUGGGCCGAGACUAUAUGAUUAAUGGGCCCAUAGAUAGGUAAAUUUUUUUUUUUUUUUUUUUGGUCAAACUGAAUUCAUUAAGAAACUUAAACAAGUUCUGGGAUUACAACUCCAGAAUUGGAGCAAAGGCCUAGAGAGGCUAGAGAAGCUUUUGCGAGUGAGUCAGCUAAAGUAUUUGCUGCUCGAGGAACAAAAGUAAAAAACACUGAAGUAAAUAGAGAGGCCAGGGCUCGAAUGUCAUGGAGAAGACCCACUAGCUCAUUUACUACUUCAUUUGAAUGGAUGAGAUCCAUAAGGACUUUUGAGUCUGACUUUAGGUGGAUUUUUGUGAAACCUCUGGAGAGGGCAUCUGACAGAGCAGCUGAGACUGCAAGUGCUUCACCUGUAAGAGCAGAGGAGACAUGCAUGGUGAAACUGGUUCCUUUGAAAACAGGGGAGCCCGAGUAGGUUCUGCCAAUCCAUCCCAUCCCGCAGGUAAAAGCAUUUUCAUUCCAAGCAGCGUCAGAUUCUAGGCAAAUAGUAUUAGCAUCAGAGUAGGAGGGCUCAAAGGGCUCUGAUGCAUUCCGUGGGAGAGCCUUUUCCAGGGGGACAGACUCUAGCUGAGCUGAUUGCCAGUUUUUGGCUUCUUGAAUGGCUUUUAGGAGGGUUUCUUCCUCUGAAAAGAAACGAUCUUCAAAUAGUAGUUGAUUCCUUGCAAUCCAUAGAUUCCAGAGGAUCCAAGGAUAGAUAGGAGUGGUAGAGAGCCCUGAGGGAGGCAGGUUCUUGCAGGGUUUUAGAGCCGAAAGGAGCAACUUUGUUGUAAGAAAGUUAGAUCCUGCUAAACUGGCAGCGAGAGGGGCUCUGCUCCAGACACUUUGGGCAAACGGACAGUGGAGUAGUAUAUGAAUUGUGGAUUCCAUAUUACCACAUCUUUUACAGGAAGCUGCUACCAUCAGGAUUCCACGUGAAAGGAGUUGUUCACCUGAGGGAAGAGAACCUAUUGCUGCUUUCCACAGUAAGCUUUUGAUCUUUGGUGAUACUUUGACCUGCCAUACAUUAGUUUGCCAUUUAAAAUCAUCAAAGAGAUGAGGGUUGAGGUUCUUUUUAAUGAGACCAUAACCCGUUUUAGUGGUAUAUGAGCCUGAUUUUGCAGGGAGCCAAACAAGAGAAUCCUCAGUUUUGAGGGAAAUGGGUCUGAGAAGACAGAUAACAUCCUCAAGGUGAGGUAAAUGAUCACGAAUAGCUGGAAUGUUCCAGGAAUUGGAGUCAUGGUGAAGGAGCUCUGAGACUCUUAAAUUGCUGUUCUGUUCCGUGGGAGGUCCAAAUGGAGUGGAAGGGGAGGAAGUAGAGAGCCAUGCAUCCGGCCACACUUUAGUGCUCUCUCCGUUUCCCACUAUCCAACCAAGUCCCUUUCUCAAAAGUUCUCUUCCCGCUAAGAUAGCUUUCCAGCCAUGUGAUGAGUUUGUGAGGGGCUGACAGUUGAGAAAAGAAUCGUUUGCACAAUAUUUUCCGAGAAGAACUUGUGCAAGCAGGGAAGUAGGAUCUUUAAGCAGGCGCCAACUGAGUUUCGCCAGUAAGGCAUCAUUGAAUUCCUCAAUUUCUCGAAACACUAAACCCCCUGCGCCCUUUGGGAGAGUAAGCUUAUCCCAGGAGAUCCAACAUAUCUUUCUCUGAUCAGCUUUAUUGUCCCACCAGAACUGAGUGAGAGCGGAUUGAAUUCUUUUGCAAAGCGAUUAAGGGAGUUUAAAGCUUGACAUUGCAUAGGUGGGGAGGGCAGAGAGAACCGCUUUGAGCAGUACUUGUUUCCCAGCUCCUGAAAGAAACUUAGAAGUCCAACUGUGUGCUCUCUGUUGAAUCCGGUCAACUAUGGAAGUGAAAAUAUCUUUUUUUUUCCUUCCAAAGUGUUCGGGUAACCCUAGAUAUUUUCCGACUCCCCCUUCUAUGAAGAUAUUAAGGAUCCUCUUUGAUCUUUCUUUCGAUGCUUGGGGAGUUUUUGAGGAGAAGGUGAUGGAUGAUUUUUCGAGAUUAAUGCUUUGCCCGGAAGCAGUCUCGUAGUUUUUUAUAAUUGCAGCGAGAGUUGCACAAUGUUUGCUGUCCGACCGACAGAAGAACAUUGUGUCGUCCGCAAAGAGCAAAUUGUUUAUAGGGGGAGAACCACAUGCCACUUUAAUGCCCGGGAGAGAUCCAUUGCUUUGAGCUUUGAGGCAGAGACCCGAUAAAACUUCAGUGCAAAGGAUGAAGAGGUAUGGAGAGAGCGGAUCUCCUUGACGAAUACCUCUAGUCGGAGAGACUUUACCAUGAGGUGACCCAUUGAUCAGGAAGGAGUAUGAGACUGAUGAAACGCACUCCAUAACCCAUCCAAUCCAAUUCUCAUGGAAGCCUAGAUUUUUGAGUACCGCACGAAGAAAGUUCCAUUCUAAGCGAUCAUAAGCUUUGCUCAUGUCGGUUUUAACCGCCAUGAAACAUCGUUUUCUCGCUUUUGAGAUUCGGAGAUAAUGGAGCAUUUCAUGCGUAAUAAGGACGCUAUCUGUGAUAGCGCAUCCCGGGAUAAAGGCCGAUUGGUGCUUGGAGAUAAGCUUGUUGAGAAAAGGUUGAAGCCGGUGAGUGAGGAUCUUAGCAAUGAUUUUGUAGGUCACGUUACAUAAUGCAAUUGGUCUAAAACCCGCAGGAGUCUUAGGGGCUUGGCCUUUUGGAAUAAGGCAAACAUGAGUCUUAUUUAACCGGUUAGGGAGAUGACCAGAGAUGGAAAAACUUUGGAUCUCUUUUGAGAGGUCUUCCCCUAGAAUAUCCCAGUAGGAUUGGUAAAAACCGGCAGAGAAACCGUCAGGGCCGGGAGCCUUUUCUGGAUUGAUGCCAAAGACAGCAAAUCUUAUUUCCUCCAUGGUGGGGAUGCUGGUAAGGGCUGCAUUCAUCUCAUCCGUUACCACAGGUUGGAUGACUUCGUCUACAAUUUGUAGAUUUGCAGCAGGAUUAGCAGUGAAGAUAUUAUUGAAAUAAUCAACAAAGACCUUUGCAAUUUGCUCCUCUUCAUGGAAAGGGUUUCCUACUUCAUCCUCUAUUGUGGUAAGCCUGUUGCGUGUUCUUCUAGCUCUUGUGGUUGCAUGGAAGAAGCUUGAAUUCUUAUCUCCACUUUGUAACCAGAGAACUCGGGAUCUCUGCUUCCAAAAGAUUUCAUCCUCUUUAUAGGCUUUUUCCAAAAAGGCAGAGAUGGCAUUGAUUACUUCUGUAUUUGGAAUCUGAGCUGAUAGGGCAUCUUCGAGUUUUUGUUGGUUGUCUUUGAUUGCCUUGGAGCUUAUCUUAUGUUGUUCUUUUGUCCAGUCAAUUAUAUGACGCCGGCAUCUGUUUGUUUUGGUCAAAACAGAGUCCUCAGGGGAGGAGUUCCACGCGGCUUCGAUGAUCUCCCGGAUUUUUGGGUUAUGGAUGAGCUUCCUAUCAAAUCGGAAGAGGCCAUGGCGCUUAAUUCUUGUUGGGUCAAAGACAGUGAGUAUUGGCCUGUGGUCGGAGCCUUCAAAGUUGAGAUAGGAGCAACGUCCCGAAGGAAAGAGUUCAGACCAUGAGGCAUUGGAUAGUGUUCUAUCUAGCCUGCAUUUGACAUGGUGUUCAUGUCUCUUUCCCCGCCAAGAGAGAGGGUUACCCGUAUGCUUCACGUCCCAAAGUCCCAAUUGAGAGACACAUGAGCGAAAAUUUGAAAAAGAGCCUUCAUGUCGAGGGGGGCCUCCUUUCUUUUCUGUGUUGUCUAGAAUCUCAUUGAAGUCUCCCGUUAGAAUCCAAGCUGAUUCCCGGGAAGAGCCGAGUGAAAUAAGAAACUCCCAGAACUCUGUUCUGUCUUCAAUCUUUGGAGGACCAUAGAUAAAAGUUACAAAGCAUACUUUACCUCUAAAAGUAAUUUUCGUGUCUAUGAAAUUUGGGCUUGAAUCUAGGAUGUCCAAGAGAACAUCACCCUUAGAGAAGAGUGCUAAGCCUCCACUGAGGCCUUGAGGUGGGAUUGUGAACAGAUUUGUGUAGCGCAUCCAUCUGAAAGUUUUUGAAAUAUAAUCAUCUUUGUUUUUCGUUUCCAUGAGAAACAUUACAUCCAGAAAUAUAUCAUGAUGAAUAUCUCGGAGUCGACGAACUGUAAAGGGAUUUCUCAACCCUUGACAGUUCCAACUUGCCACGACUAAGGAAGAGGACCGGGUGGAAAACGAAAAUCCACUUGUCCUUUUGAAGAAGCUGGUCUUAGUACCAUAGCUGGGAUCGGUCCUGAAGGUUCAUUGGCAUUUGUAUUUUGGAUCUGGGGCAGAGAUUGUCCUGGAGUAGAUGCAGGGGCAUCGAUGAAGAGACGUUUUCUUGUGGAAUUUGUUACUCUAGUGACAUUUCUUUUCCUCAGACUAAUGCCUGUUAGCGGGCUGGUAGGAACCUGAGCUCUUGAGGAUGAUGUUUUAUUUGCUUUCUUUUUUGCUGCAGCUUUCAAAGUGCCUUUGGUGGCAGGGGGAUUUGUUGUCCUUGGUGCCCUCUUCUUUCCUACCUUUCUGGCUUUGGGAGCUGGAACUCUUGGAGGAAUAGCUACUGGGGGCCAAGACGUAAAGCAGCUGGGAUUCUGGUUUCCUGAGUCUCCGGGUCCUGAGGGGAGUUUCCAGUAGGAGCAUUAGCCAGCAAAUUACUCUGUCUUGGAUUGCUAGUUUGUUCUGGAGAGAAUAAGCUCCGUCUUGGAUAGCUUCCAAAGGGGUUUUCUGGAUCUUCUCCUUGUAGAUAGUGGAUCUCUAUGUCUUGCAUCCUACUCGAUCCUGCACUUAUAGCGUCUCCAGGGAGUGGGACUGGUGCUUGAUUGAUAGCGAUGCGUUCCAAAGCUGGUCUUCUUGAUGAAGGUGUUGCUGGGAUUUGGACCAUAGCCUGGGAUCUUGGAGGAGAGAGUAUUGGUUCUCUUAACGGUUUUGGAGAAGGUGUGUGGGCUUCCAUUGAGUUAUGAGAGUCUGCGGGGAUGUGAGACGAUUUGAGAACUUACUUGGGAAAAGGCAUGGCCACUGCCCAGAUAAACCAUUGCUAUUGCGGCUAAAGUUUCCCCUGUUUGGUUUGAGCAGCUUGGGGUCGUGAGAGGAGUAACCGGGAGGAGAAAGGACCGACGGAGCCACCGGAAGUCACCAGAAAAACACCGGAAAGGAAGCAAAUUUGAAAAGAGCUUUCUAUUUUGGGUAAAUUUUAGUAGGUGAGAUCUCUUGGGAAUCGUGCCUGGGAGAAACCUCUCUCUAGAAACCUAACUUUGUUUACUUUAAACAAAAAUAAUAAUGAGUGGGUAAAUUUUUUUAAGUAAUGCAAUUAUGGUUCGAAUUUCUCAUGCAUUUUAAUUGGAAACCUUUUUCAAUUUAAAAAAUGACAUUUACAUUUUUGGCACAUUUCCCCUUUUUUCGAGAGAUCAAAAGUUAACUUAGUUACCUAUUUUUUCUUUUUCAAAUUAAUAAAAAAUAUUUGUCUUGAGAUAAGAUAAGAAACAUGAAGGAAUAAUGUUGUUGUCAAUUAAUAAUUUAAACCCAUAUUAUAUUUUAUAAUUUUAAUAUCACCAUAUUUAAAGCCUAACUGGUUUAGACGAACGAAUGCAGUUGCAGUUAAAAGAAUUUGUGAAAACGAGCAGUUGCGAAAAUGGACAGUUACCGAAACGGAUGGUUGCGGUUUAAGCGAUAUUUAACGUUUUGUACGGCUGGUCCAGCAGUUAAAAAUGGAUGCGUUGCGGGAUUUUGAUGACGGGUUGGCCAGUAGGUGCGAUAACAGUUAAACAAAAAAUUACCAAAACAAAUACAAAAAGAUAUAAAAACAACAGAAACUAUAUUAUUCAAAUAUUAAAUAGUUGAAUAUGAUUAUAAUUAUUCAUAUCGAUCAAACAAAUACAAUAUUUCAAUGUGAAAAAAACAAUCUUGAAAAAAAUUAUAUUUAAAAAUUCGCAGAUUUAAUAGUGGAGCGGGUUACAAUUAGCAAUAAUCCGAGGUAGGAUUUAAAUAGAAUUGUUAGUGUCUUUUGAUAUCUUUAAAUGUGUAACUAUAAUACUUAAUUACUAAAUUACAUAUAUACUACGGGUUAAAUCUAAAGGCACUAAAAAUUUAAAUCAAAUAAUUCUAAUACUAAUUAAAAAACUGUAAAAAAUCAAUAUUGUUAUAUGUAAUAAAAUAUUAUUCCGCAGACCGCGGUGUACCGUGGGUAAAAUCUUAUUAAAAACCAUACAUAAUCAAACUUUCGUUACGGUACCAAUAAAAAAAAAAUUAAUACAUCAAAUUCAUAAGUUUAUAACAAAAUAGUAAAAAAAAAAAUUAUCCCGCGGUGUACCGCGGGUCAUAUCCUAGUGUAUAUGAUUGAACGACUGUAAAUUAUACAUCUGAAUGAGAUUAAUGAGUUUUGCGUUUGAUUAUAGUAUCAAAGAUCUUGGUACUAGGAUUCAAAUCCAAGAUUAAUGAUUUUUAUUUUUACUUGUAAAAUCGACAAAAAUUUUGAGUCGACAUUUAUUUUCGUUUGGGCCGAGACUAUAUGAUUAAUGGGCCCAUAGAUAAGUUUCGUCUAAAAACGGCGUCGUAGUCGGAAAAGAUUAGACCCUCGGACUGACCUAGAUGGAUCAGAAGUUCUUUAACCGUUUCGUUAAGGGAACGAAGAAGCCGAAAACUUUCUCUGCGCUCUUCUUCUUCUUCGGAAUUAAAUCUCUCUAGCCCCUUUUCCUCCAAACAUUCUUUCAAAAACCCUCACUUAUUCUCACUACCCCCUCUCCUUCCCAAUACAUUUAAAAACCAACUAUACCCUUGCCUUUUAUCCAAUUUAUUUCUACAUUAAAUUUUAUUACCAACAAAUUCUUAAAAGCAACCAAUCAUAUUCAUUCUCUCUCCUCCAAUAUUCUCCUACUCCAAUAUUAGAUGCAACAAAUUCCGAAGCUGUUGAGUUGAGGUCACAAGUUUCAGGGUUGCAAAGCCAAGUCCAGAACUUGUCUGGGAUUAUUCAACAAUUAGUUGGUGCCUCUACUACUCAGGUAAAUUUAUGGUGCUUAGUUUUUCAUGUUAUAAUAGUGUGUUUUAUUGUGAACUAAUGUUACUGUAUGUAUAGACAACUGGAUCGACAACUGGAUCGACGCCAAAUUUAGCUGCUCUGUUAGCAAACUUGGCCAAUCAGCCAAAUUUUACUACUAUUUUAUCGAGCUUGGCCAAUCCACCAAAUUCUCAGGUAUUUUUUUUGAAAUCUUUAUGUCUUCACUUGUUUAAUUCAUCAUUUCUCCUCAACUCUCAAAUAUUCUAUUUGAUAUCGAAAUAUCUGUGAAGAACUAGUCAGGAGAGAGUAGUCUGACAUAAUUUAUUGUUAAUUGGGUUGUUCAUAGGCAAUGGAAGAAGGACAUGAAAAUCGGAACGUGGGCAACUCCGGUACUUAGGAUUACAAGAUCUUGUUAUAUUAAGUUCAUUAGCUAUAUUUCUUUGUGGAUUAUGUGUUUGCUUUCUUUAAACAGUGAUAUCUACAUUUUGUUACAUUCAACUAGGUUUUAUAUUUGAUGCAUUUUUAUUUUAUCACGUAUUUAAUAGAUUUGAUAUAUUAUUUACAAAAGAAAAAAGUUUAUUAUAAAAUUAAAAAAGAAUUAUUACUUCGAUUGUAGAAGUGAUGCGACGACUAUAUAAAGUGAUGCAACAACAAUUUGUUAGAAUCAAUUACAAUAAAUGAUAUAAAUAUUUUUUAUCAUUUUUUUAUAAACGUCACAAAAGUUAAUAUCAGCUGUGAUAAACUGAUACAAUUUAUUUCAUCGUUUAUACUAACUGAUGUCACUAUUAAUAUCACAUAUUUUAAAUGACACAAGUUUACCAUCACUUGUGAAAGCUGACGCAAAUUAUUUACAUCAAUUAUUAAAACUGUUAGUAAAUAUUUACAUCGGUUAUUGUAGUCGUCGCAAUAUUUACAUCAUUUCUUAUAACUGACGUAUUGUAGCAUCAUUCGUUAUAAUUGAUGGAAAUGUUGCUAUCGGUUGCUAUAACCGAUGCAUUAAUUUGCAUCGCCACUUUUGAUAUCAAUUAUAUAAGUGAUGGUAACUCAUUUGUAUCAUUCGAUAACCGAUCUAAGUAUAGAAAAUAAGUGAUGUUAUCCACAUGUUUUUUUGUAGUGCUAGUCUAGUUUGUGCUAUGAUAUUAUAAAAAGUAAAAAAAUUUCGAGCAAUUUUUCUAUUUAUUCAAUUAGGUAUUAUUUAGUUUUGAUAGUGCGAAUCUUAUUUAAGAAAUUAUAAGCAAAAUAUUUUACCAAGUUGAUUAUGAAAAUAUUUACAAAAUUAUAUUGAGAAAAUCAAAACUUUAAUAUACUUAGGACUCGAAUUCCAUUUCAACUCUAAAUAGGAAUACAAAAAAUAAAAUCCUUAAAUCCUAUAAAUCUAUAAAUAUAAAACACUACCGAUCCAACAAUCAUCUUUCUAAAAACCAACACACAAAGAAAAAAGUUCACCUAACCAAAAUUCCAUCGAACUAUGGAAUACGUUGACAACCUUCAGCCACAAAGUAAUGUUAUAAGGAUUUUUUUAUAAAUUACGAAAAUAUAUUUUAAUUUUGUGGGGCUUUUCUUUAAAAAUUUUAUUUAUUUUAAAAAUUUACGGAAUAAAUUAUAUAGAUGACUAAAUAUGUGGAGUUUUACGGAUACUGAACACUAAAAGCGAAACACAGAGUAAAAAAAUACAAAUUGGAAAAAUGUUGAUUGCACAGAAUAUGUAUCAUGAAUAUUGUACACCUGUAAUGCAGAUCAGAUCUUUUCAAACCGAACGAUUAAAAGAUCAUACCAUAGUAGUUCUACAUGUUAGUUUCUCUCAAUCUCAUUUUGUCUUUGCUCAUGCUUAUAAACUUCCAUAUUAACAUAGUUUUUAGAUGUAUAGAACAUCUAAAACAUUUCACUCUAGUGCAAUAAUUACGGAUGAACAUCUCUUGAGGCAGAUAAUAAUCAUCUUCAAAGUCGAUGGUCAGAUCAAGGUCCGAUACACCACGCUGCAGUACUUGACACAACCAACGAUUCACACGAACUGGAGAAGCAUCAGCUUCACACUUGAGGGAGAACUUACGAAUGGCAGAAUUUCCCAGCAAAGACAAGACUCUAUCCACAAAACCCAUGAAGCUCUAAAGAAUUUCAUCUCUUUCCCGCUUACCCUCUUCCGGAUGAAGAAACACAGAAUCAUCAAAGUCAAGAAUAAGGACAAGUGCAAACAGAUUGCGCCACUUCUUUGAGAGAACUGUUGUCGAAACAGCCUUCUUUGUGGUCAGGAAGGACAAUAUAUGACAACGAACAUCGUCUGAUAAUCUGGAUCCAUCUUCUCUACAGUAAAUAGUAUUUUAUCACCAAAAAGUAUUUCCCACAAAAUAGCAAAUAAAAAUAUUUAAUAGAAUAAUAAUGUAAUUAUAUAAUUAUUGAUCAAAUGCAAUUUACCAAAAAGCUUCCUACUCGUAAUAGAGAGAGGUUCAUUCAAACCUAACAGUUAACAACGACGCGAAUAAGAAACCCACCCAGAGCAAAUUGAUUUUGAAAAUCCAAAUUUUCGCAGUGCACUAUACUUCAAAAUUAGGGCAGUUCACAUCUAGUGAGAAGACAAAAUUGAGGGGUAUUCUGGAGAUUUUGUCAAAUAAAAUGAUAAAUAACUGAAAAAGAUAUCUAGCUACACGAAAUAUGUACAAUACAUGACCACACAUCUGAAGUUUAAAAAUAUAUCUCUAACUACACAAACUAUAUGCAUCACAUGCCCACAUAUACGAACUAUAUGUAGGGAUAAUUAGGAAAAAAAAUCCAAAAAAAAACUUAAAUUAGUAUUGUACGCCAUAUCUUUUAGAAUUAAAGAUAUACACCAACAAAACAGAAUUGCUUUAAUAUUUAUCCGAUAAUAUAUUUAUUAAAAAAAUUGAAUUUAAUUGAUUUUGAUAAAACCUAAAAAUCAUGACAUACUUAUCUAUGCUAAUAUUUAGGUUCUUAUAUAUAUAUACUAGAUAGUCACCCGCGGUACACCGCGGGGUUAUGAAUGCUUCAUUUUUGUGAAGAUGUGUGCAUUAAAAAAGUUUUUUUUAUAUUUGUUACUCGGUUGGUUUUUAUUUUUGGAAAUUUCCGGUUUUUGGGAAUUUGCGGUCCCGUCCCGUCCAAUCUCGUUCCCAUCCCGAAUUUUAAAUGGGACAUAAAAUAAGACCUCUUUCUCGAUUCCCAAAUUUCAGUCCCGUUUCCGUUCCCCCAAAUUCCGUUCUAAACAAUGAUUUUGAGAACGCUUUUUUCAUCGUCAUAAAAGGUAAAAUAGUGAUUUGAGAUUUUAUUUGUUAGUGAAAUCAUAUUUAUAGAGGUUAUAGUGGUUAGGUUAAGUUCGAUAGUAAAUCGAGAAUAUCUUGGCCAUAAAAUCAGAUUUGCUAGAUAUUUACCACAUUUUAUGGAAUCCGAAAUAAAUGGUAGAUUAGGAAAUUAACAAUCUCCAGAUAUGUUAAAGGAAUAUUCUUGAAAUUAGUUUUUUUUUAAAUUUUUUUUAACAGUUUAAAAAAAUAUUUUACUUUAACAAAAAAAUUAAUAAAAAAAUAUUUUAUUUAUACAAUUACAAUUUUAUUUAGUAAUAUAUCUUUUAAAAAUAUGAUAAUAACCCGCCUUUUCAAAAAUAAUUAUUCCAAACUUUGUUUUAUUUCAAUUCUAAUUAAAUUUUAAAAUAUUUUAGUCUACUACUAUAAUAUUUUUUUAAUAAAAUAAAAUAUAGAUAAAAUAGAGUUUUAACAUCUCAGUUUUUAAUUAACAAUCAAUUAGGUCGUUUUGGUAUUUUAAAAGAAGGGGAGACUCACAAAAAUGCCCCUUUUUCAAUACCCCUUUUCAAAAAUGCCCCCUUUAGCUGUCCAUUUUUAAACAUACCCCUUUUUAUGUACAAAAUNNNNNNNNNNNNNNNNNNNNNNNNNNNNNNNNNNNNNNNNNNNNNNNNNNNNNNNNNNNNNNNNNNNNNNNNNNNNNNNNNNNNNNNNNNNNNNNNNNNNNNNNNNNNNNNNNNNNNNNNNNNNNNNNNNNNNNNNNNNNNNNNNNNNNNNNNNNNNNNNNNNNNNNNNNNNNNNNNNNNNNNNNNNNNNNNNNNNNNNNNNNNNNNNNNNNNNNNNNNNNNNNNNNNNNNNNNNNNNNNNNNNNNNNNNNNNNNNNNNNNNNNNNNNNNNNNNNNNNNNNNNNNNNNNNNNNNNNNNNNNNNNNNNNNNNNNNNNNNNNNNNNNNNNNNNNNNNNNNNNNNNNNNNNNNNNNNNNNNNNNNNNNNNNNNNNNNNNNNNNNNNNNNNNNNNNNNNNNNNNNNNNNNNNNNNNNNNNNNNNNNNNNNNNNNNNNNNNNNNNNNNNNNNNNNNNNNNNNNNNNNNNNNNNNNNNNNNNNNNNNNNNNNNNNNNNNNNNNNNNNNNNNNNNNNNNNNNNNNNNNNNNNNNNNNNNNNNNNNNNNNNNNNNNNNNNNNNNNNNNNNNNNNNNNNNNNNNNNNNNNNNNNNNNNNNNNNNNNNNNNNNNNNNNNNNNNNNNNNNNNNNNNNNNNNNNNNNNNNNNNNNNNNNNNNNNNNNNNNNNNNNNNNNNNNNNNNNNNNNNNNNNNNNNNNNNNNNNNNNNNNNNNUAUUGAAAAGGGCAUUUAACAAUUCUCUAAAAGAUUCGUAGCAUAAGAGUGCAUGAUUUCUUAUAUUCGAUUUAAAUUAAUAGUUUUUGAACGUCUAUUAUCUAAAUUGAUAUUUCUGUUAUAUUUUACUGUCUCAAAUUCUUAAUAUUUAAAUUAAUUAAAAAAAAAGUUCUGAAAUUUGGGAUUAUUAUGUAUUAUAUAUAUAUAUAUAUAUAUAUGAUUGUAUAUUUAUAUAUGAUUUUUUCAAAAAUUUGUUUAAAAAAAAAAAUAGAAAACUAUGUCUAUAUAUAUUGCUAAUAUGGGGGAGUAAAUUUUGGGAUAUUGCUAAUAUGGGGGAGUAAAUAUUUGGGAUAUAUAUAAUGAAAUAAUAAUGCUUCUAAUGACUUCUCUAGUGAAAUGAAAUAUAACACGUUCAAAAUGUUGUAAUACUUCUCAAAUAAUAGUGUAAGGGAUUUAAUAGAAGCCUUACUCACUUAAAUAAUUUAUUAAUUUCUUUCACAUAUAAAAGAAUUUUACGUGUCUGAUUUUUAAUAAAACUAAAUAAAAGCUGGUUUACUUUUCUUUUUUGUCGUCUCUUCUUUUUUCCUUUCUAGUUUCUAUAACGAAUUGGUUGUUGCUUCUUAAUUAGCCAAGAGAAAACAAAUAAAAAAAAUCAUAUUGAAUGUCAUCUUAUUAUUCUUACUGCUGAAUUUUGUUUUUUUUUUUUUUUUUUUUGUCUAUAUUGUUGAAUUUAAGGUCAAAAUUUGCGUCAACUCGGAAUUUACGAUGGUUACACAUGACAAUCAUGGGUACAAGCAGUCCAAGUUUUCUUAAAAAAUCAUAUCGCCGUCCAAAAUAUAUGUACAUAUGCAUCCGAAAAGUGGGAAUGAUAUAUGAGUCUCAACGUUUAUUGGAAUUUUAUUUUUCACAUUUCGGGUUUAAUUCGGACACGAAUUAAAUUUUUAAGAUUUGGUCAAAAUAUUGAAUAAAAAACUAUAAAAGAAGUAUGCUAUUUAUUAUAGUUAAAAGUUAAAACUCUGUUUUUUUUAUUAGUUAAUAUCACAAAAGUAUAAACAAAAGUAAGUCUUAUUGGUAAGAUAAGGAUUAAGGACUGCUUUGAUUGAUUUUAACAUGUUAGGUUAAUGAGAAUUGAGAGGCCACUGACAUUAGUCAAAUGUUACUUUCUUCUCUUAAGAUUGAUAUAAGAUAAUAGAAUAUGAAAAUUCUAUGCCAUCUUAUUAUAUAAAGUUGGGUUUUCGAAGUUACUAACUCAAGAGAUUGCGACACGUGUCAUAUCUAACGGUUAGAGAUUUAAAGAUAAUGUUAAGAAAAUUAUAAAUUAAAUAAUUUAAUAUGUAAAAAGAUUUGUGUUUUUGAACUAAUUAAUAGAUUUGGAAAUUCAUACAAAAAUCAUGUGUUAUUCAAUCAUUGAUUUUAAAAUCUUUAUCAAAAUCAUGUGUUAUUAGUUCGAUGAUUUAUAAAUACUAAUUAAAAUAUUAUAUUAUUCGUUUAGUGAUUUGUUUUGGGAUUUCAAAAUUCAUUUUUUAAAAGUUAGUUGUGUUUUUGAACUAAUCCAUAUUUCUGGCCUUUUUUAAAAGUUAGUUGUGUUUUUGAACUAAUUAAUAGAUUUGGAAAUUCAUACAAAAAUCAGGUGUUAUUCAAUCAUUGAUUUUAAAAUCUUUAUCAAAAUCAUGUGUUAUUAGUUCGAUGAUUUAUAAAUACUAAUUAAAAUACUAUAUUAUUCGUUUAGUGAUUUGUUUUUGGAUUUCAAAAUCCAUAUUUUAAAAUAAUAGGAUUUGAAUGGAUUUCAUAGUGAAAAAUAGAAGGAUUCAAAUCCGUGGGUAAACACAUGUUAUUUCAAAAUUCAUAUGUCUUGAUUUCAAAAUUAUUAAAGAUUUCCAAAUUCGAUGUGGAUUUACAAAUCCAUAAACCAAUAAACCCCCCUAAGACUUUGAAUGUUUACUAGGACCAUGAAUGGCGAACGAUUCUUGGAUUCACCCCUAGGGGUGAAUCCUUUUUAUUCACCUCCUUCUAACUAACCAAUCAAAAUUAGCCAUAUCAUCUAAAUAAACUAAUUAAAAUAAUUAAUAAUAUUUAAAUAAAACAACUAAAUUAAAUCAAUUAUGGAUUCCACCAAUUAAAUAUUUUAUUUUACAAUUAAACAAAAUUAUAUAUCGGUUUAGGUUUAUAAAGGAGUGGUUAGGGUUUAGAUUUUAUAAUUUUUACGAAAUUAUAUGUCGGUUUGGGUUUAUAAAGGAGUGGUUAGGUUGAUGUUAUAUAAAAAAAAGAGGGUUACGGUUUAGAUUUUACAAUUAAAAAGAAAUUAGAUAUCGGUUUGGGUUGACAAAGGAGUGGUUAGGGGUGAACUUAUAUGCCGGUUUUACAAGUCACUUCAAUUGAACCUUGUUCUCCAUACAUGGACUUAAGGUAAUUAUCGAAUCAGUGUGGUUAUUGAAUUUUGAUUUAAGAUGUUACGAAGUUAGCCAACUUAACUUAAGAUAGAUAAUAAACCAAUUUUUGUGGUUAUACAUACAUACAUUUUUUUUUUUUUUUUUUUUGAUAAAGAUAUACAUACAUUACAUACGUUAACGAAUCAUAGAAAUAAUCCCCAAAUUAUUUUUAAAGCUAACUGACUUGAAAAAAUGACCAAAAUUAGAUUGUGCCAUCAUACACAAUCUCGCUUAUUUAUGCUAAACCCAGAAGAUCCAUAUGAUUAAUGAGACCAACUGUGACCAACCAAAGAGAAGAAAAUGAUUAAUGAAACUAAAUGCAUAAUCAAUAGAGAAAACAGAGUUUUGUGCCAAUCCUUAGAGAAAAUAAGUCUUUCAUCAGAAUAAUAACACCAAACUCUAAAGAAGACGAGAGGGAGAAACUAAAGUUUGAAAUUAAGUUGAAUCAUUAUCAACAACCGAGUUAGUUCUCUCUAACUCUACUCAUCAUCUUGAUCGUCUUCAAUGUCAUCAAACUCAGACUCAUUCCCAGAUUCACUCUCCGAAUCACUCCACCACACAUACCCCCUAUUCGCAAAAACAUCUCCAGAUUUCUCUGACGAUGAGUUUCCAGCUGCAUUCUCGCUGCUCUCCUCUUCCUUAUUAGCCAACCUGCUCAUCACUGAACUACUCUUCUUGUUAAACGGAGACGAUCUCAGCUUCCUCACUUUCUUCUCCGGGGACACUACCACGUCGUCAUCAUCGUCAUCCAGAGAAAUUUCUUUCGCUGUUUCAGUUGUUUCUGUUGACACAGAAAAAGAAAAGGCUAAACUUCAGGACAGGCAUUACAUGCAAGCAGUUCUGUUUGAUCAAUGUUUCUUUGUCAAAAAUGUGAUUGUUAUUAACAGCUUACUGUUAUAUUAGAUCAAACCUAGAAAAACAAAACACAAUGAAAAACAAUUUGAGCACAAGACUAACCUGUGUCCAUUGCUGAAUUUGAAGCCUCUUUUGUUACAGAUUCACUGGCUUUCUUUGGUGCCGGUUUCUUUGGCGCCUGUCUCUCUUCAUCGGGUUGAGCAUCUUGCUUAUCAAGUUCCUGCGAUAAGAGGAAAAGAUGUAUCAAUGACAAAAUGUGGUAAUUUCCUAAUGUGAAGCGUUAUAAAUAAGGCUUAGCAUUGUGCAUCCUUACCUCUAGUUCUUUGAGCCUGAGGGAUUCCGGUGUGGCGUUUUUCAAGUCUUCAACUGCAUCCAUCAUUUGAUCUCUCUGUGCCCUUACCUCUUGUACUGUAUCUGUAAUCAAAACAGACAAUUGCAAUAGGUAAUUAUAGUAUGAGCUUUCAGCUGCAUUAGUUGCUCCAGCAACUGCUGCUUCGACAGGCUUGGCAUUUUCCAGGAUUUCUGUGAACCAUUUUUCUCUCAACUUCUGAUCAUUAGCUAUCUCUAGUUUCAGCAGCUCAAGUUCCCGAUUCUUCAGCAUAAUUUCCUGAUUCUUCAGCAUAGUUUCCUGUACACAUCACAACACAGUUAAUGUUAGAUCAUUGCCUUAAUAAGUAAAACCUCAAAAAAAAAAACUGAACUUUUCUAACCUUUUUCUUCUCAUAGUAUUCAAGCGUGAGGUCAUCAACCAUCGAUGGAAAAAUAUGAGUGCCAGGCUGAAUGGGAAAACAGGGACAUCAGAACAUGCAUAUAUAACAAGCAAAGCACAGAUAUUUUAAAGAUAACUCAAUCCAUCAUACCUCAUAGUUCGAAAGCAAGUUUUCCACCACGCCAGAUUUGGCCACUAAAACAAACAUUAUAUAGAAAAGAAAUCAUUAAGGACUCUUCUUUAAAGCAGUUACAACACUAAUAUAAAAAGAUGGAUCAAGCAAACUGAAAGUUCACAUUUCUUUAGAUCAACACACGAUACCUUUCUGAAGGAUAUUUUCUGAAAGUUGACAUUUCGACCCGAAACUUCUCUCUGGAAGAGUCAGUGUUUCUUUUGUUUGAGAAUCAAACGCAGGAUUGUCAAUCAGAGCAUUGACAAAGACCCACAGAUGGUUCUUCACAUUAUGAGUCUUGACAUUAGGGUAUUUCUUCUUUUUGUUCACAAUACCCACAAUGUACUCUGUGACCUGGCUGGUCACAUAAUCAACAUGCGUACCACCCUUAAUUGUCGCAAUGGAGUUGACAAAGCUAACCUGUUAGUAGCCAAAAACGAGUUUACUCAUUCAUCAUGAAGAACAAAAGGUAAUAAUAGCCAGCCAUUAUAUAUAUAUAUAUAUAUAUAUAUAUAUAUGUUGAAACCGUCCAUCACUUAAGCUCACACAAACUUCCCAUCUAUCAUUAACUUUCUCAUUCAUCCUACUCACACAAAAACUCAAAAAGAUCAAAAUCUAUUCCAAGACACCAAAAUUGUUAUAACUCAAUAACGAAUCAUAGAACAAACCUUGGGAGAGGCUCAGUCCUUGAUUUACUGGCGGCACUUAAGUAGAGAUCAACAUAAUCACUGAAUGACUUAAUUGGUACUCGUUUUCCAUUCAGGUCAACUUUGACAGUCUGUCCCAAACAGCCAGCAAUAUCAAACACUCGCUUACUCAUUAGAGCAACCACAUCGUUCUCCAAUUCAGUCAUGUUAAACUUCUUCAAAUCAGGCUUGAAUGUAACCUUCGUCCAAUUCUCACCCUUAUUGCACUUGGUUAUAAAUAGUUUAGACAUGUUCCCCAUAUUGUUUUCAAAGACCUAAAACAUCACCAGUAAUGUCAAUCAAAAUUCCUCAAAUUACUCUAAUCAAUCGAAAUCUAAAACUCAACACAGAAAGCAAAUAAAACGAUUCCAAUACCUGCUUAUACUUCUUGAGUGAUCUCUUCCCAUCUGCAAUCUCUAUAAUGAAUUCAGUAGAGAAGAUGUUUGUAAGCGUAGCACCAAAUCCGUUUCUUCUACCAGUAGUCUUCUUAACAUUAUUAUCGUAAUUCCUCCUCAACCAAUGACCAAAAAAAAUCCCAGGCACAAAAACACCUUCUUCAAGAGGAACUCCAUCACCACUGUUACACACACUAAUCUGAUUCUUCUCAACAUCGAUCACAACUUUGACAGAAUCCAUAGACGGAUCUCUCCGUUUAUUAUCAGCAGCAUUCACAAGGAUCUCAUCAAAGAUCUUAUACAAUCCAGGAACAUAAGUAACAGAACGACAAACCAUCUCUUCCUUCUCAUAAACCCAAAGCGUUUGGGUAUGUUUCUCAAUCGAUCCUAUAUAAGAAUCAGGACAAAGUAGGAUAUGCUCAAUUGUAUUCCCAGCGGAAGCUAGCGAUGAUGCCGGAGCCUUCGCAACAUUGGCGUUGUCGAUGUUUUGCAUCGGGAGCUUCGAAGCCAUGUUUAAGAGGAACGACGAGAGUUUCUUAGAGAUGGAUCUAGAAAUUAGGGUUUUUUUUUUUGGGGAAGAAGAAGAAGAAGGAUUUUAAUCUAGUCGGCCCCUGUACUCAAAAUCCAUUCCAUUUAGCCUCGUAAUAAAAUUAAUAUAGUUAAUAGUUUAUUUUAAUUCAGAAAAAUAGUAAAAGACAAAUAAAACAAGGAGUUUUCACUUAUUUACGACCUAACCAGUCAGUUGGAUCUAGAUCCAUAUGACUUUCGGAUAUUUUAUCCCCAAAGUCGAAUCCAAACACUAAUUUCCAAAUCACCUUUUUUUUUAUUUCUCCUCUCUACGACUUUUUCAUCUUUUUCGUUUCUCUCUGUCCCGAGUCAACAAUCCGACAAACACAAAGCUUUCAAUCUCUUUUCUUCUUCUUCUUUCUUCUUUUUUUUUUCUCUCUUUUCUCGAUUCCAUCGAUACUCAUUCAUCUUUUUCAUCUUCCCUCUUCACUCGUUUCUAUCGAUCCAAAGAUCCGUCCUCUCUCUUCUUCUUCGUGAGAAAUUCGCAGUGAAAUCGAGAAAUCCGCCGUGAGAACUCCGUCGUGUCUUCUCUUUGUAAGAUUUCAUUUGUUUGAUCCCUAAUUUUGUUUUAUUGUGUUAGGUUUAAUUAGGAUUUGAUUUCUUCCAAUUUCUUCUUCUCUGUGAGGGUUUGAUAUGUAAUUCUCUUUGAUUUUGUUUGAAACAAAUGCAUUUUGAAUGGAAUUUCGAUUACAAUUAGGAUUUUUUAUGAUUACAGUUCGGAUUUUAAGAUUACUAAUAGGAUUUGAAUUACAAUUCGGGUUUGAAAUUCGGACCACAUGUAGCUACUUUUUCUUGUUUUUAUUUGGAGAUAUUGAGUGAAAGUUGUAACUUUGUUUGUAAACUCUUCUUAAAAUGAUUGAUUUCUCUUGGUCAAUUUUGGAAGAAAUCUGGUUUCAAGUAAGUUAAUAAGGAGUGGAUUGCAGACAUAGAUGAAAUUUUUUGUACGUAUAUAUUAGCCUAUAACAUUUGUUUCUCUAUUACGAGAGGAGGAAAAGGAAAAGGAGACUGAGACUGAGACUGAGACUGAGAAGGAGAAGGAGAAAGAGAAGGAUAAGGAGAAGAAGAAGCAGAAGAAGACUUGGUGUGUUCAGAUGUGUUUUGGUUUCUAAUGUUAUGUAUGAAUCUAAGUGUUUAGGUACAAAUGGUACACUUAUGUACAACUAUGUAUCUGGGUUUGUAUGAAUCUAAGUUUUUUUGACAGAAAAAUCACCAAAAAACUAUGAGUCAAAGUGUUUUGAUGAAAAAAUUCACAACAACACUAUGAAUCUACUAAGUAUGUUAAAAAAUAUAUAGUGUUGAAAAAAAAAAGUAUUUUACUUUUUUUUUUUUUUGGUGAAUCUAAGUAUUUUGAUUAAAAUAAAAAAUAAAAGAAAUAUCUACAAAUAUCUAAAAAUAUCUGAGAAAGAUCUAACAUAAAUAUCUAAAAUUUGUUCAUAGUUGUACAGUUGUACUCGGUUGCACAUUUUUGCUCAUAGUUGUACAAUAUCGAGAAUUUAGUAAAUAUAGUUGUUAUCAACUCUAAAUUAAUUUUUGUGGGUGGAACCGAUGGUAUUGUCUCAUCAAAAUACCAUUUCUUUGUAUGAGUGUAGUUAUAUUUAUCAAAAUACAAGUAUUUCAAAAAUUUAAAAUUUUUUAGUUCAAAUCUACAAAGUAACAAUGGAAGUAUAAGGUUGUUAGUGUAUGAAUGUGAGAUUUUGUGAUAAGAAUUUCAUUAAUUUAGGAAAAUAUGAAUUUUUUUGUCAAAAACUUCUUGUGUAGUUUCAUUACCACCGAGUAUGCAUUUUUUAAGAUUUUUUUAUUUGGUUUUAAAUUUUCAUAUUAUAUAAAACUCUGAAAACUAGCUAAGGCAAUAGACCUUAGUUGUACAGGUUGUACUUAGUUGUACCAAGACAAAACAAUUUAAUUUGUAUAGAUACGAUAAAAAAUUCAACCAGAGUUGUAUCUGUUAAAACUUAGUUGUACGAAACAGAACAAGUAAGUUUCACAAACAAAACCAAUACAAACAACAUCGCUUCUUAAAUCAUCCUAAUAAUGGCACUUAGAAAUCAACCUUGGUCACCCUCAUCGUCCCAUCAACGUCACCAUCAUUGUUACCAUCAUUGGUAAACUACUCACCUAAACUACUCGGCCUCUUCGACCUCUUCUUACCUCAUUUUCUUCUAUGUUCUCCAAAGCAUAAGCACAAGCAAAUUAAAGCGGACUGAAUUCUUUUUUAUUGUCCCUGAAAAAGAAAGAGAGAAAGAAAAUGGUCUAUAAUUUUAUAUUUUUCGUAGCAGUCCAUCAACAUAGUUGUACUCAUUUGUCCCAAUUGCACCAAAUUUAGGGUUUCGGUAAUAUUAUACUUAGUUGUACCUAAUGGUUUCAGUUGUUCCAAAUCUACAAUUCCCAAUUUUUUCUACCAAAAACUGCAUUCAAGCUACGAAUUCAACUUUUCUCAAUCAUAAUUCACUAAAAAACAAGUAUACUUACUAGUGGAUAGAGAAGAAGAAGUAAACAACGAGCUUUAAUGGUGGAUGGAGAAAAAGAAAUAGAGAGGAAAUAUGUCAUUGAAGAUGCUUGAAUCGUAAGAAGAAGAAGAAUUUGAUUUUUUUAAGUUUUUUGAUGGAGAAGAAGAAGAAGAGAUGAGAUAUGUCUUUGGAGAUGGAGAAGAAAAAAAAAAGAAGAAGAAGAAGAAGAGAGGAGAGGAAAUAUGUCGUAAGAAGAAGAAGAAUAAUCUCAUUUUUUAAGGUUUUUGGUAGUUAAUGAGAGGGGAGAGAGAAUGAAUAUGAUUGGUUGCUUUUAAGAAUUUGUUGGUAAUAAAAUUUAAUGUAGAAAUAAAUUGGAUAAAAGGCAAGGGUAUAGUUGGUUUUUAAAUGUACUGGGAAGGAGAGGGGGUAGUGAGAAUAAGUGAGGGUUUUUGAAAGAAUGUUUGGAGGAAAAGGGGCUAGAGAUAUUUAAUUCCGAAGAAGAAGAAGAGCUCAGAGAAAGUUUUCGGCUUCUUCGUUCCCUUAACGAAACGGUUAAAGAACUUCUGAUCCAUCUAGGUCAGUCCGAGGGUCUAAUCUUUUCCGACUACGACGCCGUUUUUAGACGAAACUUAUCUAUGGGCCCAUUAAUCAUAUAGUCUCGGCCCAAACGAAAAUAAAUGUCGACUCAAAAUUUUUGUCGAUUUUACAAGUAAAAAUGAAAAUCAUUAAUCUUGGAUUUGAAUCCUAGUACCAAGAUCUUUGAUACUAUAAUCAAACGCAAAACUCAUUAAUCUCAUUCAGAGGUAUAAUUUACAGUCGUUCAAUCAUAUACACUAGGAUAUGACCCGCGGUACACCGCGGGAUAAUUUUUUUUUUUACUAUUUUGUUAUAAACUUAUGAAUUUGAUGUAUUAAUUUUUUUUUUAUUGGUACCGUAACGAAAGUUUGAUUAUGUAUGGUUUUUAAUAAGAUUUUACCCACGGUACACCGCGGUCUGCGGAAUAAUAUUUUAUUACAUAUAACAAUAUUGAUUUUUUACAGUUUUUUAAUUAGUAUUAGAAUUAUUUGAUUUAAAUUUUUAGUGCCUUUAGAUUUAACCCGUAGUAUAUAUGUAAUUUAGUAAUUAAGUAUUAUAGUUACACAUUUAAAGAUAUCAAAAGACACUAACAAUUCUAUUUAAAUCCUACCUCGGAUUAUUGCUAAUUGUAACCCGCUCCACUAUUAAAUCUGCGAAUUUUUAAAUAUAAUUUUUUUCAAGAUUGUUUUUUUCACAUUGAAAUAUUGUAUUUGUUUGAUCGAUAUGAAUAAUUAUAAUCAUAUUCAACUAUUUAAUAUUUGAAUAAUAUAGUUUUUGUUGUUUUUAUAUCUUUUUGUAUUUGUUUUGGUAAUUUUUUGUUUAACUGUUAUCGCACCUACUGGCCAACCCGUCAUCAAAAUCCCGCAACGCAUCCAUUUUUAACUGCUGGACCAGCCGUACAAAACGUUAAAUAUCGCUUAAACCGCAACCUUCCGUUUCGGUAACUGUCCAUUUUCGCAACUGCUCGUUUUCACAAAUUCUUUUAACUGCAACUGCAUUCGUUCGUCUAAACCAGUUAGGCUUUAAAUAUGGUGAUAUUAAAAUUAUAAAAUAUAAUAUGGGUUUAAAUUAUUAAUUGACAACAACAUUAUUCCUUCAUGUUUCUUAUCUUAUCUCAAGACAAAUAUUUUUUAUUAAUUUGAAAAAGAAAAAAUAGGUAACUAAGUUAACUUUUGAUCUCUCGAAAAAAGGGGAAAUGUGCCAAAAAUGUAAAUGUCAUUUUUUAAAUUGAAAAAGGUUUCCAAUUAAAAUGCAUGAGAAAUUCGAACCAUAAUUGCAUUACUUAAAAAAAUUUACCCAGCCCACGUCAUUUUUUUGUUGGGUCAAGCACAUAUUUGAGAUUAGACUACAAAACCCAUAAGCGAAAAAAAGAGAAAGAAUAGAAACCCAUCAUUAAGUAGAAACACAUCUCAACCAAUAUUUACAAAAAAAAUUUGUUCAUGUGAAGCGACUAAGCAUUUUCAUGGUUGACGGAGGAUGACGCAUCUCAGACCGUGAAGCCAAUUUAGUGAAGAAGGUGAAACAAUUAUGAUGUCAAUUUGGUGGAGCAAUCAAGACCAGCUUUGAAGCAUCUGGGAAGCAAAUUUAUGAUUCGAGUAUCUAUAGGUAGAGAUUCUACUCCUAAUUAAAAUAUCAAAAAAGUUCAAAUGAAAAUUGUUCUACCAUCUGCGAUUGAAUCUCAAUUAGAUAAAAGCAACCGACUAAUCUAUCAAUUGAAGACAGAAAUUCCAUGCAUCUGCCAUUGAUGUUAUUUCUUGGGAAAAUUCGAUUUCUUAUCAUUUUGUUCAUGGAUUCUUAAGGUAACUGAUUAGAAAUUUUAGAUCUUAUGGUUAAUGAUAGUACGUCUUCUGAUUCAUAAAUUUACAAUUAUAUUGCAAACAAUUAGAUCUCAUAAAAUAAUUUGUAAUGUUGUUACAGUUACAAUUUUGCACAACGUCUAAUUAAAAAGAUGGAGCCACUCAAAGGGCUGGUAGAAAAGUUGCUUGCUUCAGGUAACUUCAUUUACCCAGGCUGGUUUGGCUCUUGGAGAUCUCAGAUCAGUAAAGGAUCUGUAUGAUUUUAAGACUUUGUCCGUGCUAUUCCUCAUUGGAUCCAUCUCUAUAUUCCCUGCAACCCUAAUCAGAAAUCCAGAUCUGCUCCAUACCAAUCAUCCAAGGUCCAAAUCCAAUUUUCUUCUUCUUCUUCUUCUUCUUCUUCUUGGGAACACGACUUCAUCACCGCUCUAAGUAACAAUGGCCUUUACGCCGUCGUCUCUCCUCCCAAAAAUCUUUGUGGUUAUAAGAAGCCUAAUCUUCUUCUAAAACCAUCUUCUUCGACGCAUCGUCGCCUUCAGGUCAUAACUUCUUACGACAAUGGAGUUCUGGGGUAAACAUCUCCUAUUUCCCACACAGAUCUAAAAGCAAGGUUGGUCUUUAGUUUCUCUUACUUUCGGUAAAACUCUGCGGAUGAAAUCUUACUCUCAUAGGUCUCGUCAGCAACAGAGUUUACUGAUAAAGAAUCAGAAAAGCAUGACGAAUCUGAUGAUGGAGAACAGGAGAAGCAACAAGGGCUAAAGCAAGAACGUGAGAGUUUGGAGAAGAAAAGAUGAAGAAGGGUUGAGAGGAAGAACAAGCAGAAUUAGUUGACGAUUUGAGUGUAGUAAAACAAAGAAAUCAGAGUUAUCCUUGCUCGAGUAUGAUUAUGUUCCCAAGCUGGUUGUAUUCGUGGAUUCGAAUCUGCCAUGUCUAGCACGCCAAGUGUUCGACGAUAUUCCACACUUGAAUGUUGUCUCUGCUACAUCGGAAAUAUAAACGGUAAUGUAUAUGUCCUUUGCUUCGAGACAGAACAUGAGUAAUGAUGAUGGUUGGUUUAGUUUCUAGGUCUGGAAUUGAGAAGUUAGAAUGAAAUUGGUUAGUANNNNNNNNNNNNNNNNNNNNNNNNNNNNNNNNNNNNNNNNNNNNNNNNNNNNNNNNNNNNNNNNNNNNNNNNNNNNNNNNNNNNNNNNNNNNNNNNNNNNCCAUGUGAGCAAUGAAACUGGUCAAUAAGGACAUGUUCGUUUCCUUUAUGAAUCUUAAUGCUUAUUUUAUUAAAUAUUUGCCUAGUAAAUGAGAUUGGAAUUCUUAUCCCUUGAUACUUCAAGAAAAUAGAGACAAUGAUAACAUGAUGGAACUAUCAUAUUCGGCUAUCGCAAAGCUUGAUCAAGCAAAACAGAAUGAGAUCCAACCUUCUUCAUAAAAAUUAGAAGGUUAUUUACUUUACUUCGUCUUUGUUACUCUUGAUGGUUUUGGUUUUGGCAAUUUCAGUUCCAAACUAAUUCAGGCUAUCCACAAGCUUUCCUUUCGGCAUCAAGACUUCAAGGUAAACUAAUACUCUUUGAUUUCUCGUGUUUUCAUAAGGUUAGCAGCUGAUCAGUUCAAAUUAUUUAGUAGAUAUACCCUGCAUUUUAAGGAAAUUUGAAGCUAAUAAGCUUGUCUAUUGUACUGCAUUUUUAGGACUAUUGUUGCUUUGGAGAAGGCAGUGAAGUGAGAAUUGCUUGGAAUGAGACAACCUAAGUUCUUUGAAAGAGAGAAAGAGCAAGCUAAUGGGAAGGCAACGCACAUAGAGGGGAUGAGAUUGAAGUUGUCUUUAGAAUGUUAGCUUUAUUUUGUUUAAAACUUGGUAUGAUGUUAUGUUAAAAUGGAUAAUGUAAUAAUUAGGGCUGGGCUUUUAAACCGAACCGAAUGUACCGAACCGAAACCGAAGCAAAAAAAAUCGAACCGAACCGAACCGAAAAUUUGAAAAUAACCGAAUGGAUACUAAAUUUGAUAACCGAAAUAACCGUAACCGAAUCGGUACCGAACCGAAAUAUUUCGGGUAACCGAAAUACCCGAAAUACAAUUAUAUUUUCGAAAUAAUUAGUUAUUUAUAGACCAUAUAAUCAAAAAUACUUGAAAAAUCUAUAAAAAUAGUAAAAAUACUCAAAAAUAACCGAAAAAUAUCCAAAAAUAUUCGAAAAUACUCAAAAAUAACCGAAAUAUCCGAAAAUAUCCUAAGCAAAAUAACCGAAUGGAUACUAAAUUUUAAAACCGAAAGAACCGGAACCAAACCGAAACCGAACCGAAAUUUCAAAAUAUCCGAAUGGAUACUAAAUUUUAGAACCGAAAGAACCGAAAACCGAAUGGACCCAACCGAUAACCGAACGGAUAACCGAAAGCCCAGGCCUAGUAAUAAUAUUGUUAUGUAUGUUGAUGAUUUAUGAAAUAUAAACAUUAUAUUAUAAAUCCAAUUAAAUUUAUUUUGCAAAAUAGGAUUCAUAUAUAAUAAUUAUAUAUGCAAAUAGCUUAAAACAAUCGAAGUAUAGACUUGCUAUUGUAGAAUGCCCUAUGAUAACAAAAUGCAGGUGCUAUAUAAGAUUUAAUUAUAGCGUUGUAAUUUUGCUAUAGUAUCUGUAUAUAUCAUAGCAUUAAAAAAAAUGCUAUCGUAUGUCAAAAAACUAUUAUAGCUGCCGAUGUCAUAGCAUUAGUCAAUUCGCUAUCUUAUAUGUAUGAUAGCAUAAUUUCCGCGCUAACAAUGUGCAUAUUUCUUGUAGUGUAACUUCAUUUACACAGGCUGGUUUGGCUCUUGGAGAUCUCAGAUCAGUAAAGGAUCUGUAUGAUUUUAAGACUUUGUCCGUGCUAUUCCUCAUUGGAUCCAUCUCUAUAUUCCCUGCCCUCCUAAAGAGAAAGAGAGUAUUUUAUAAAACGUGUUAAAGGGCUGGUAGAAAAGUUACAAUUCAUGCUAGUGCUACGACUCAAUGCUCUCUUUCAGUCAAUUUUGUCCAUGAGGAAUCAGGUAACUUGUUCUCCCUGAAAUUCUUGGGCGGGGAGGAGCAUCUCUAAAAAAAUGAUCUUGUUACACAAAAGGUUAGAAAAACACCAAACAUAGUAACACCUCCAAAUUGACAAAUUGAGUGAAAGUACUUUGGCCGAUAAUGAUCAAAUUUUUGUAUUAUAGAAGUCGAAGAAUAAAACAAAAAAAGCUAAUCGUACCUCUCUUAGAGAAUGAAUUAACAAUAUGGCUCUUAUGUUAAGACUCUUAGCUAAUGAGAUCUAAAUUUGCUGUUUGUUUUUUUUUUAAAUCUCUGUUAUGUUCAAAAAAGAAAAACAAAAACAAAAAAGUUAUUAGAACAUUUGCUAAAUUUAUGGUCAAAAUUGAACCACAUAUCAAAAAUAAUAAUCGUAGAAGACAAAAAUAAAUUAAUGUGAAUUAAGUAAACUAUUGAGUGAAAUUUUGUACAUACCAGAAAUCCAUCAAACAUAUAUAUUAGUUUGAUAGAUCUGCAAUGCCACAAAUAUCCUGAAAACAAUAAAAAUAACAUGUUAACAUGAUAAUUGAUCAAAUUUUCAUUACAAACACAAAAUCGUUUUUCAAUGAUAUAUCUAUUCAUAACAAAAUAAGAGAAGCACCUUCACCUGCACACGCCAAUCUGUUUUGUAAGGCAUGAUGUCCCUCAAGCAAGCAAAGGAUUUGGCCAUUGGUGUUCGUAAAAAAAUUUUUGAGCUUAAGUUAGAGAUCGGAAAUGUAUUAGUGUUUUGUGUGUUUAGAUCUUGGAAAUGACCAUCUAUUUAUAGUGUUUAGAUAGAUUAGUAGGGUUUUAUGGUAGAGAAUAUACAAAAUCUUGAUUAGCAAAUAUUAUAUAUCUUAUAAAUAUUCAUGAUCCUAAAUCUAAUAGAAUAUGCUAUAGGAAAUAAGAAUAAAAUCAUUUAGUUAAGAAUCAUUUCCAAUUCAGUAGUUGUGAUUGAAUGUGGAUUUUAUACGGUUUAUUUGAUUUAGGAAACAAACUUUAAUGGGGUCAUAAUAUGUAGCAUUUUUAUAGGAAAUAAGUUGAAUAUAAAAUAUUCGUUUGUUAAUACGAUAUAUAUAGUUUACAAAAAAAAAAAAAAUAUAUAUAUAUAUAUAUAUAUAUAUAUAUAUAUAUAUAUAUACAAUGGAUAUAUAAUUGUGCAUUAAUUUCGGAAACGAAUUAAAUUCUGGAAAUUAAUGUUUAAAUUUUCCUAAUUUAAACAAUCGAAUUAAUGAUUUUUAUAUUGUAUUAGUUAUUUAUGAUAACUAAGGUAUGUGGAAUAAUCAUUAGAAAUUUAGAUUUGAUUUCGAUUUUAUUGUUUUAGUAGUUUUCAUUUGCUAGAUAUUCUCGAUAUUAGGUUUAAUAGCAUUUAAAAUUAAAUAUUUGAUUUCCAUAUCUUUUAAACUCAAAUAUAGUUUACGAAAAAUUAGGAAUGUUUAGUGAGUUAAUUUAUUGUUUUGUAAAAUUUGCUUAAGACAAUAUUUUUGUCAGAUUUUAUUUGUAGGAACUAAAUGUACAAUAUUGAAAUUGUAAAAGGAUUUUUGAGGCCAAAUCUUCACCAAAAAUGUAUAUAUAGAUUAUUGGAUCAAGUUGUAUAGAAAGCUAACCAAAUCUAUGAUGCAUUAUUUACAGAAGGAGAAGUUGAAAUGGCUUAAAGGCUUAUCGGUGAAAGAAUAUAGAGAGAUAUGGGUUUUUUUUGUCCACGCUAGCUACGUCCAAAUCUAAUAGCCUUAUCUAACUGUGAGUGGUGUCUGUAAAGAGGACGUUCAUUGUAAGGUCUCGGGUUAUAUAUAUAAUCAAUGAUCAACCACUAUGUAAAUCUUUUGAGUUUGGGACCUCUACCAAAUUCCCACAACAUAAAUUUUAUGGUACUGAUUCACAUCAUUCUCAACUUUUCUUUUUCACCCAUACAAACGCAUGACUCAAUUCAGAAGUCGAGAAGUACCAAAUACUUUUAAAAAUUUAAAUAGUUAAUGCUAGCCCUGGGCGUUUUAACCGGACCCGAUCCCCGACCAUCGAACUCGAUCCGAAGUGACGAGUUCGGCACGGGUGGAUUUAAAUCUCUCUAGCCCCUUUAGGGAGAAUCAAAUUUUGGAAAACCCCUCUUUAUUCUCACUACCCCCUCUCCUUCCCAAUUUUUCAAUAAACCAACUCUACCCCUUAUCCCUUUAUUUCUACAUUUAAUUUAAUACUAACACAUUUUUUAUUCAACCAAUCAAAAACUUUCUCUUUCUUCUCUCAUUAGAAAAAUAAACAUACCAAAUGUCUCACCUUUUACGUUAAACCUACGAGACUUUCUUCUCUUCUUCUUCUUCUUCUUCUUCUUCCUCUUUUUCUUCUUCUUCUUCUUCAACAGCUCCGACGUUCUUCAGCAGCUCCGACGUUCUUCUUCUUCUUCUUCUUCUUCUUCUUCUUCUUCUUCUCCAUCUACCAUUGAAGCUCACCAUUAAAGCUUGUAUCUCCAAAGACAUACCUCUUCUCUUAUUCUUCUUCUAUUCCAACCAUACUGUAAGGUAAGUAUACUUGUUUUCUUAGUGUAGUAUGAUUAAGUUGAAUUCGUAGCUUGAAUAGGGUUAUUUGUUGAAAUAUUUUAGGAUUGCAGAUUUGGGACAACUGAAACCACUGGGUACAACUAAGUAGAAUAUUUACGAAAAGUCGAAAACCUUAAGUUUGGUGCAACUGGGACAAAUGUGUACAACUAUGUUGAUGGUCUGCUACAAAAGUUGUGAAAUUAUAGGCCGUUUUUUUAUCUCUUUCUUUUUCAGGGACAAUGAAAAGGAAUUCAGUCAUACGCUUUGCUUAUGACGGAUACUAUACAAGUAUCGAAGAAGAUGUACAUUGGAUUUCUAAUGGAGAAGAUGAAGAAGUGUAUUCUUUUCUUAUGAAUAAAUCGAAAGGGGAAGUAUCAUAUGUUAAGAUAGUUGAGAAGAUUUGCAGAAAGAAAAAGGUAGAUGAGGCUACGACAAAGCUGAGAGUUAGCUACUUUCUCUUCACAUUCAAAGGACGUAAGCUAAGACCAAAUUAUAUUCGUGAUGAUGAAGAUGUUGUGUGUUAUUAUGAGGAUGUGAGUGAAGAAGGGCUUAGAAGUGUAUUGCAUGUCGAGCUCCGGGCACAUGACUUGUGCUGAAAGUAUUAUUGGAUCGAGCUUUGGGUUUUGGCGUACACGAAGACAAUUUAUCCGGUUCUCCAUAAUAGUCAAUGGGUUCUUCCUGAGGAGAUAAUGCAACUGUUUGUCUAUCCUCCGGAUUAUGAGGUAAAACAAGGAAGAAGACAAGAAAUAAGAUUCCCCUCCGUUCGAGAACAUAGAGGAAGAGGACGUAAGAAGAGGUCGCAUGGAUCGAGCGGUUUGGGCGAGUGGUUACCAAUGAUGGUGACGUUGAUGGAGACGAUGCGGAUGACCAAGGUUGAUUUCCCAGUGCUAUUUAUUAGGUUAAUUUAAGAAACGAUGUUGUUUGUAUUGGUUUUGUUUGUGAAACUUAUAUGUUCUGUGUUGUACAACUAAGUUUUAGCAGGUACAACUAUGGUUGAUUUUCCUUCUCGUAUCUGUGCAAAUUUUGUCAGUCUGGGUACAACUAAGUACCACAUGUACAACUAAAGUCUAAUGCCUUAGCCAAUUUUCAGAAUUUUAUAUAAUAUGAAAAUUUAAAACCAAAUUGAAAAAACUUGAAAAAUGCAUACACGAUGGUAAUGAAACUACACAACAAGUUUUUGACGAAAAAAUUCAUAUUUUUUAAAAAUACUGAAAUUUUUACUCAAAAUCUCACACUCAUACACUUACAACCUUAUACUUUCAUGGUUACUUUGUAAAUUUGAACUAAAAUUUUAUAAAUUUUUUGAAAUACUUGUAUUUUGAAAAAUAUAAAUGUACAUAUACAAAGUAAUGAUAUUUUUAUGAGGCAAUACCAUCGGUUCCACCAACAAAAAUUAAAUUAGAUUUGAAAACAACUAGAUUUACUAAAAUCUCUAUAUUGUACAACUAUGAACCAAAAUGUGCAACCGAGUACAACUGUACAACUAUGAACAAAUUUGAGCUAUUAUUUAAUAAUUGUUUUCAAAAUAACGGCGCCAUGUAUGCCAUUUGUCAGAUUUUUUCAAAAUAACGGCGCUAGGUAUGCCAAAAUAUCAACUAGAUUAACUUUUUUUUUUUUUUUCCAAAACCCUUACAAACCUACAUAUUUGUCAGAUUUUUUGAUUAAUUUAGAAUUUUUUUUUUUUGGUUCAAAACCCUUAGAUGAUAUUCAAUACAUAGAUUCAUACAUAGAAAUAUUAAGAUUCAGAUUAAAAGAUUCAUACAUAAUUAGAUUCAUAUUCAAAGAUUCAUACAUAAUCAAAAAACAUAAACCCAGAAACAUAGUUGUACCUAAUCGUACCAGUUGUACCUAAACACUUAGAUUUAUACAUCAACAUUAGACACCAGAAUACAAGCGGAACUCAUCAUCAGAGACCAAAAUAGGAGCCGAACUCUUCUUUUCCUUCUCCUUCUUCUUCUUCUUCUUCUCCUUCUCCUUCUCUUUCUCCUUCUUCCUUUCCUUCUUCGCCUUUUCCUCCAUAUCCAUCUGAGUUCAUCCUCUGUUAAUAGUCAUUGUAAUUACUACCUGAAACAACAAUCUCAUUAGAUAUCUACAUAAUUAUAAGAAAUCCGAAUUAUAAUCAUAAAAAAAAUCUAAAUUCAAUUAAUCCAUCUGUUUAAUUAAUUCAAACAA
rnacentral:lncRNA from 1 species